UACAUUAAAUAGUAUAUAUAGUAUUCUGACCUUGUUAGAUCAUAAUAUUACGUUUUGAUAUUCAUCUUACUUAAUUUUCAUGAAAAUAUCUACUUGUUUAAUGUGGUAUCUUGGAUUCCAGGGCCAAAUACCUUGAUGUACUCCGAAUGUGGAACUAUGGUUGACUUAGUCUCAUACUUUCACUCUGAUCCUAAGAAAAGGGUGAUAAUAGUUCUAACAAUAGUAAUGAUAGUAAUACUUUUAUUUUAUUAAUUAAUUUUUUUUUUGAGACUGAGUCUCGCUCUGUUGCCCAGACUGGAAUGCAGUGGUGUGAUCUUGGCUAACUGCAUAAAUGCUCCUGAGUAGCUAUGAUUACAGGUGCCCACCACUGUGCCUGGCUAAUUUUUCUAUCUUUUCAGUAGAGUUCGGGUUUCACCAUCUUGGCCAGGAUGGUCUUGAACUCCUGACCUCGUGAUCCACCUGUCUCGGCCUCCCAAAGUGCUGGGAUUACAGGUGAGAGCCACUGUGCCUGACCAACAGUAAUAAUUUUAAUAAUAAUAAUUGCAUUAGUUUAUUGAGCAGUUUCCCUAGGCCAGGCACAACAUUAAAUGGAUUAGAUAGAUUAUCCCAUGUCAUCCUAAUUGACCAUUUAAGUCUAUUGUUUUUAUUUUGUAGAUAAGAACACUGAGAUACAGAGAAGAAAAUUCACUCUGUAUAAAUUUGGUAGUGUCUAGACAUUGAUUUCUAGACCUAGACAUCUGUACUCCCCAAGCACAUGCAUUAAAAUGUCACACCACAAGGCUGUCAUUCGGUCUAACACAGUAUUUUGAAUUGUGUUGUAAACAGCCAUCUAAAUGUCUCUCAUCUGUUUUCACCCGAGGGAUGCAAACAUUCUUGAACUGAUAUUCUGCUUCUUUUCCUUUCCAUACACUGCAGUGAUGAUAGUGGUUUCGAGAUUCCUCAUCAAAAUAUGUUUCUGAGAUUUGUUUUUAUGCAAAUUAAGUAAAGGGCAUAAGAGUAUAUGUUAUCAUUAGUAUAAAUACCUUCAUAUUAACUCUUUGAAAUUGCCAAUUGACAAAUUAUACUAAUAUUCAUGUAUAUGAAAUACCAGUUAUCAUAUUAAGCAAAUAAUUAUUCUAAAUUUAUUUGAGAAUAAUAAAUAGUUUGAUGUAGGGUCUUAGAAAAAUUGAAUACUUUAUGCCUGUAAUUAUUUUACAUAUUUCUUAUAUCAAUUACUACUUUUUAACACAUUCCUAUCAAUUUCGAAGCCUGGUUUCUUUCCUAAAUGUCAUCUCACUUCAAAAAGCUAAUAUUAGUUUUACAUCUAAAGACAAUCAAUAUAACAAAUUUUAUUUAGAAGAACUGUAGUAUAAAACAGAUGUUUUACAAAAACUAACUCUAAUGAAUUUUGAAAUUUAGUAUUCUGAUCAGUGGAGAACUGGAAAUCUGUAUAAAUUUAUUUAGGAUAGAAAAUUCUUUAUAUUUUCUUUCUCUUAUUCUUAGAGCUAUUUAUUUAUUUAUUUGAGACAGAGUCUCACUCUGUCACCAGGCUGCAGUGCAGUGGUGAAAUCUUGGCUCACUGCAGCCUCUGUCUCCUGGCUUCAAGUGAUUCUCCUGCCUCAGCCUCCUGAGUAUGUGGGACUACAGGCACACACCACACACUCAGCUAACUUUUGUAUUUUUAGUAGAGAUGGGCUUUCACCAUGUUGGCUUGGAUGGUCUCAAUAACUUGACCUAGUGAUCUGCCUGCCUCAGCAUUCCAAAGUGCUGGGAUUACAGGUGUGAGCCACCAUGCCCGUCUCUUCAAGCUUUUUUAAACUCAUAGAUCCAAAACAUCAAGUUUGUGAUUCCAUAAAUUAUAGCUAAAUUUCAUUGUUGUGUUUUUAUUAUAUUUUCUAUCUUUGCCUUGAAAUAUAGUCAUGAUUUCUCUUAUAUUUAUUUCUUUCAUCUAUAAAAAUGGGUAUAUGCACUUCCAUAAAUUUGCAGUGGUUAAUUGAGAAAUGUAAGUCAGUCAUUUCACAUACCAACUGUUAUGAGUGAAUCAUGUAUAUUUUCCCUUUUUGGUGAAUACACAGAAGAUCUUUCAUUGAAGUCUCCUUCCUAAUUUAUCUACAAAAGAUUAUAAAAUUGUUCCUCUCACUGUGGGCUACAAAGAUGUAUCAGAGUAGUACCAUGUUUCUUUCCUUCAUAAUAUAGACUAGACAACCACACAGAAAUUGACAAGAUGAGAUGGAAGAAAGCUUAAAUCAAUUUCCCUUUCACGCAGGCCACCUUAAUAGGUCUCCAUACCCACACUGGAACUGAAGAUGAGAUUUUUUUAUAUUGUGUGAUAGUAAAAAGAAGAGUGAUAGUGCAAUAAUAACAAAUAUAUAAUAGGAAAUGCACAAUAAAUUAAUAUAUAGAAGCCAGUGACUCUUUGAAUAGAUAUUCUUCAAACAGCAAACAGCAAGAGAUGAAUAGAUUGCCCAAAUCAUGUGUGCUUAUUUCUCUCCCUGCUUUGUAUAAGUGUGUAAAUAUGACAAGAAGUAGAAAAGUGUUUGUGUUUCCCUCAUAUUCACUCUGUCUUCCUUCAGAUGCUGAUAGUCCAAAAACCUUUCCAAACUAUAUGUUCAUAGUUGUUUGUUUGUUUAUGGUCAUUAUAGAAUAUUGGAAACCAGUGAUACUUCAGCCAACAAACUAACAAUGGGCAUUUGACGUACUUCAGAGGAAAGUCAGUGGAAAUGUCAGUCAUCAACCUUGGGAUGACUUCAGCUUGUUGACUACCAUGAGCAUGAUUCCAAGUGUUCAAAUUACUUGGAUGGAAAAGGAAGGGGGUAUCGCAGAAAGAGUGUUGUACUGAGUACUAGAAGAGCGUGGUCUUGGCAGCAGCACAUUUAAGGUGUGACUUGCAGGAAUUUGUUUGGAUUUCUGUAUCUCAGUUUCCUCACCUGUAAGUUAGGAAACAACAAGAGCCUUGAUUUUUCCCAGUGGUCUACUCUGGUGCUGUUAGUCUGAAUAUUUUAGGAUGGGGCCAUUACUUGAACUUGUAUAAAAAAGUAAUGAGAUUUAGUACUUUAAAGGAAAGCAGAUGGAUGAUCUAUAAAUUGAUUUUUUUUUUACAUAUAGAAAUAUCGUGUUAGGUCAAGGCAUGGAUUUUAUAUGAGGGAAAACACAGUUUAAAAGAAGUUUGUAAGUAUAUUGUAAAUUGCCUCAGAUGGUCUGGAUGUUUUCCAGUUUGAUUAAAACUUGAGCUAAAGAUAAGGAACUGGGAUAGUGUUUUAAAAUGAGAGAUACCUAAAAGAUGAAGAACAUAAUGUGGCUCUUGCCCACUGGGGUUUUACUAUCAAAUAAAAGAGGCAGCAGGGUGAGGUGGUUCAGGCUUGUAAUAGCUGUUUGGGAGGCCAAAGUCAAGGGAUCACUUGAAGUCAGGAGUUCUAGACCAGCCUGGGAAACAUGGUGAAAACUCAUCUCUAUGAAAAAUACAAAAAACACUGGGUGCGGUGUUAUAAUUCCAGCCUAUAAUUCCAACACUUUGAGAGGCCAAGGUGGGUGGAUCAUUUAAGGCCAGGAGUUCGAGAACAACCUCACUAACAUGGUGAAACCAUGUUUCUACCGAAAAUAUUUUAAAAGUAGUGGGGUGUAGAGGCAGGCACCUGUAAUCCCAGCUACUUGAGAGGCUGAGGCAGGAGAAUAGAUUGAAUCCAGGAGGUGGAGGUUGCAGUGAGCUGAGAUCAUGCCAUUGUACUCCAGCCUGGUUAACAAGAGUGAAAUUCCAUCUCCAAAAAACAAACACACAAACAAACAAAAAAGCUGGGCAUAGUCGAAUGCGCCUGUGGUCCUAGCUACUCGGGAAUUUGAGGUGGGAGGGAGAGAUUGCAGUGACCCGUAAUUGCACCACUGCACUCCAGCCCGGGAAACAGAAUGAGACCCCAUCUCACAUACUCACAAAAAAGGCACAAAAAUGCUAACACAUGAUAAAAUAUGUUGCUGCUGUGAAGAAAACAGGAAGUCAUGCUGGGGAUGACUAACAGACAGAUAUUUCUUUGUCAGGGAUACAAAACAGUGACAGGAAAAGGAAUGGGGGAAAGGUGUUGGUCAGAGGGAAAGGCAGUCAAAUGACAAUUCAUUAUUUGGGAUCAGUGUGGUUGAAAUGGAGUCCAUGGGGUAGGCUGCCGUUGGGUAAGGAUGGAGACUAAGCAUACCCAGUCUGUGAGUGGCCAUGUCUUAUGCAUCAGGGUAGACUUUGCAUGUUGCUAAGUAGUCAAUAGACCGCUCAAGAGGAGGAUGGAAGCCCAGGGAGCCUGGUCCACAGUGCAACUUAGAGAGGGUGACCUUGCCCAGGAGAUAGGUCAGAACAAUUUCACCCAAUGUAAUGAGUAAUUCUGGAGGCAGAGCUAGGGCUGAGAAGAUCUGGAGACUCACUUGUGUCAAAGGACACAGGGCAGGAUUGGGAAGCUAUUACUUACUUCAAAAAAACAUUUAAACGAAACAUUUGAUAGGCAAAUCCAAUAUUAUGGGCUUAACUUUUACCACAACCAUUCCCCAUUUCCAACAAGAACUCUUUGAUUCUUAAAAAAUAUUCAUCCUAUGUGAAUGUAUUCUAAUUUCCUUUUAUCCAGGAGAAACUGUCAUAGAAUUGUAAAUUUUGGAGAUUGCUGUGUUAGCAGCAGGCAGCAAAGAUCUCGCCUAAUGGGUCGACAGUAACACUGUAGUCAUAAUCCCGUCUUCUCACACAUCUGUUUGUUUAGUACCUCAAGAGCUGAGGAAGUUUAAAAAUUGUCACACAUUGUUGCUUUGUCUUAUGCACUUAUUUGAGAAUGAGACUCUCAGCAAGAUUUUAUUGAAAAGAUCUGUCCAAGGAAUUGACUGCCAACUUAACUCAAAAUUUAGCAAUUAACCUUCUCUCCCUAAUGUGGGAAUGAUGGCAUCCACCUGUUGAGAACUCAUUGUCACUUUGACACGUCUCAUUUAAGGUAAAGAGUUUAAUUCUGUCUUUUGGACUCAUGUAUUGCUUGUCAUAUCAUAAAUGCCCAACAAAUUCUAAAGCUCUAACUUAAGAAGGUAGCUAGGAUGGUGGUGAAGACAGUGGGGUUUGGAACCAUAGACUUUGAGAUUUGAAUCUGAGCUCUGCAUAUCAUUGUGUGUCAUUGGGAAGUAUAACUGGUAAACCCAAUUUAUCUAUUUGUAAACUUGAGAGAAUAACACUUACCUCAGAAAUCUGUUAUCAGCAUGAAUGUAGAAGUGUUUUCAAACAAUUAGCAUAGUGUGAGGCACUGAGAAGGUAUUCCAUGCUUGUGGACUGUUCUUCUUCUUAAAUAGUUAAUUUACAUAAACAACUUUAUGACAUGUUACAUGCAUGAGUAGAUAGGAAAUGCCCUGAUUUUUUUUUACAGAUACCUUAUUUACUUAAGGCUUUCCUUCUUUCCUUUACUUAGUGGAUGAUAAUGAUGAUACCAAGUUAGCUAAAGACAAGUAUUACAGCUGUUGCCAAAGAACACCAUGGUACAACAGUACACUUAAAUUAAUAUGUAACAACAUGUGUAUGGUAACAUAGCUGUGUUACGUGAACAUAUCACCCUGCUUAGCGCACAGUCUUAUCACCAUGAAAAAAGCAUUGCCCUCAGGUGGAUAGUUGCUCAAGACCCCUGCAAUUUUGAGGUUUACAUUAUACCCCAAUAAGCUUCAUUUAAUUCCCCUGUAACCUGGUACUAGAAAACAAUUUUAUCAAGGAGAAUAAUGUGGGAAUAGAGAAAAUCCUCAGUGUUACCCAAACAUUGGAGUUGUUUGAAUGUGUCGAAAGCCUGGGGGUAUUUGAGGGAUUCUGGAAAUGGAUGGCAUUCUCCAGGAUGUGCAUCUAAAAUCUGGAGUCUGCCUGUGGCAGGUGAGUGGAUGCUGGGGUCAAACAAUCAAGGACAGAUGCAUAGGAGCGUGAGUUUGUGCUAUCCUCUGCUCUGGUGGGAAGGAGGGAGAAAUCUCAUUCCUCCAUCCAUUCGUUUGUUCAUUCAACACAAAUUGUGGACGAACUAUGUGUCACACCGUGUUACAGACACUGAGGAUACAGAUCUGGAUAAGAAAAUCAAAUUGCCUGCCAUUAAGCAACUUAAAGUCUUUGUGCUACCUUAGAUGCGUACCUUAACACGGAUGACAGCAAGACCUUGCCCUGGUUAAAAAUACCUGCCUGGGUAUCUAUAAGAAUACAUGUAUCAAACUAACCCUCCUGUGCAAGACAGGCCAAUUAAUACUAAGAAAAAGCAGCAAGGGCAAGAUCAAAAUUCAAGGGAAGAAAUUAAAUUUAAAUUAACUCUCUUUUAAACUACCUUUUGGGGUAGGGAUGCAGAAGUGUAUUUUAAGCUUCAACUGGACCAUUUCAAACUGUUACAUUUGGCUAAUGAAGUAGCAUUCCAGAGGGAGAAAAUCAGAGCUUAGUUUCGUGUGCAGAUCUUGGAGUCGGAACAAAGAAAUAAUAAACGGAUAAAGAAAUAAAUAUCCAUAGAACGUUUAAAACAUUUACAGAAAUAUUGACAACUACAAAAUGAGAGAAUUUUAAGAAAUAAAAUAUAAAGGAACCUGUGGUGUUUCUGUUAAAGGAUUGGAUUUGCCAUUUUAUACAGAAGAUUUAACUCGCCUCAUUGUUCCCGAGGAAAGUGAUUAUAUUUUAAGUCCGAAAAGUACAAAACCAAAUAUAUCUCUGAGGUGCUAAUUGGACGAAAUGAUAAGAUACUUACAAAUAAAAGUAUUAUAUUAUACUGAACUACAUGAUAGACUAUUCUUUAAAUGUCGUCAUUGAUGAAUAGGGCUCCAAUCAUAAAGCAAAGAGAAUUUGUUUGAGAUUAUGCUAUACAAAUAUAAUUUUCAGAAACAAAUCUCGUAUUUUAAGAUAGUAGCAUACAUAAUAUAAUGAUAUCUGUGAUAUGUGCAAUUGCAAAUAUGCAGUAUUUGCAUAUUCAUGGUUUCAAAAAAUGCCAUAACUCUGUGGAAAAAAUAGAAUUUGACCAGUAAUUGUUGGAGAGUCUAGGUCUCUUCCUCAUUGUCUCUCUCCCACCAUGUCAGUGUUGUGUUUCUUUUACCCUUGAAGUUUUUUACAUUUUCUCACACCUAUGCAUCCUGAUGAGUAAGGUAUCACUUGGUUUGCCUGAUUGUAAAUUUUACGUAAAUAUGUCUUCUUUGCACCUUGCUUUUUACUGCACUCUACAGAUUUGCCCAUGGUGUCGUGGGUGCUGGUAGUUCAUGCAUUUUUUUCUUUUUUUCACUGAUGCCUCCUGCUCCAUCAUUUGAAUAUGCCACAGGGAAUUUACAUUUUCUCCUGAGAACAUUUGCAGAGUUUGCAGGGUUUUCUUCUGCGAACAUAUAGCUAGGGACAUUGUCAUAGGAGUCUCCUGGUGUGGGUGCGCACGUGGUUUCUUGGGCGGUCACAGAAGGGAAAUGACUGGGUUGUGGGAUUGGAACAUCUUCAACUUCAUAAUGCUGAAGAACUUUCCAAAGUACUUGGGUAAAUUUACAUUCCAACUGGCGAUAUGUAAUCCAUUGCUCCACAUAUUCAGCAAAACUUAACAUUUUCCUAAUUAUUUUGGUGCUGUUGUUGCAAAUCUGGUGAGUCUGAAGUUUGCAUUUCCCUGAUAAAGGCAUUAUCAGCACUUACCACUUAGUCUGCUCUUCGAUUAAAUGCCUCUUCAUGUCGCUAGCAUAUUUCUCUAUUGGUGGUUUGUCUGUUUUCUUACAUAUUUUAUUUCUGAAUCUAUUUGAAUACUAAUCUGUUAGUUGUGUGUAUUAAAAUCAUGUUCUCCCACUUUGUGGCUCAUUUUAUUUUUUCCCUAUAGUGCCCUUUGAUGAACAGAAUGCUUAGUUUUAUUGUUAUGUUGAUCAGUCCUGUUUAAGACAUAUUUAAACAAUUUUAAGAAUUAAAACACCAUUUAAAUAAUUUCCUUUGAUUUAUUAUGUGAAUUGUAAAGCUGUAUCUUUUUACAUUAAAAUUUUUUUUUUUUUUUUUUGAAACUGAAUCUCACUACUGUCACUCAGACCAGAGUGUGGUGGUCUGAUCUCAGUUCACUAUAACUUCUGCCUCCAAGUUUAAAGCGAUUUUCCCACCUCAGCAUCCUGAGUAGCUGGGAUUACAGGUGCCUGCUACCAUGCCCAGCUAAUUUUUGUAUUUUUAGUUGAGACAGGGUUUCACCAUGUUGGCCAGGCUGGUCUCGAACUCCUGACCUCAGGUGAUAUACCCAUUUUGGCCUUCCAAAGUGCUGGGAUUACAGGUGUGAGCCACUGCACCUGGUCUACAUAAAAAUCUUAAAUCUGUUUUUCAUUGACUUUUUUAGUAUAUUAGCAUGUAUAGAUUCAAUUCUUUGUUUCAUGUAAAAUAGCUCUUUUAAUACCUGCUAUUGAGCAGACUGUCGUUUGUCUCAUAAGCUGCAAUACCAUAUUUACCUUGCGUCAGUUUUUCACAUAUGUGUAGUCUACUUCUGAGAAAUUGGGGAAGAAUUACAGCUUAAUGAUUUUGAGUGUUCUCAUUCAUGAUCUUGAUAGCCAUUUAUUUAAUCCUUUAAAAAUAUUUUUUAAUGAAAUUUAGACAUUUUUUCUUAAAGGUUUUAUAAUAUUCGUUGUUUUAUUCAUUGCUAGGUGCCAUAGAGUUUUUAUUGCUCUUGGAAAUGUUCUUUUAUUUUUAUUUUUUUCUUUUUUUGAGAUGGAGUUUCGCUCUUGUUGCCCAGGCUGGAGCACAAUGGCACGAUCUCGGCUCACUGCAACCUCCGCCUCUCAGGUUCCAGCGAAUCUCCUGCCUCGGCCUCCUGAGUAGCUGGGAUUGCAGGCAUGCACCACCAUACCUGGCUAAGUUUUGUAUUUUUAGUAGAGACGUGGUUUCAGCACAUUGACCAGGCUGAUCUAGAACUCCUGACCUCAGGUGAUCCACCUGCCUCAGCCUCCCAAAGUGCUGGGAUUACAGGUGUGAGCCAACAUGGCUGGCUGGAAAUGUUUGUUUGUUUGUUUUUUUAAAAUAAGAGAGGUCGUCUAAGAAUUUCUGUGUUAUGUAGAAGUGCAGUUGAUUUUUUUUGUAUUGACCUGAUACUAAGCAAAGUUACUAAACUUUCUAAUUGCCUCUAGUACUUUGUAGACUUCUUUAGGGUUUUUAUAUAAGCAAACUGUGAAAAUUGCUCUAUUAGGUCUUCUUCUAAAAUCUUAUUAUUUUUGUUUUGUUUUGUCUUUUUGUACUGAUAAGAAAUGGGGGAGAGUAGACAAUCUUUUUUAGUUAAUGGAAUUACAUUAAUCUUUAUCAUUUAAAGAACUGCUGCAAGGCUUAAAAAAAACUCUAUUGAGAUCUAAAUCAAAUGUCAUGUAGUUCACCCAUUUAAAUAUAAAAUUCAGUGGUUUUUAAUAUAUUCUCAGAUUCUCGUAACCAUCACCACAGUCCAUUUUAGAACAUUUUCAUCACCCCAAAAGAAACUCCAAAUUCUUCCAGCCCUAGACUUUUCUGUCUCUAUGUGUCCAUUCUAGACAUUUCAUGUACAUGGAAUCAUAUAAUAUAUGAUCUUGUAUUAUUGGCUUUUGUCACUUAGCAUAAUGUUUUCAAGGUUCAUCGAUGUUGUGCCAAAUAUAAGGACUUUAUUUUUCGUUGCCAAACAAUAUACCGUUGUAUGGAUUAACCAUACUUAAUGACCUAAGUAUGUGUGGGUGUAUGUGAAUAAGUAUGUAUGGAGAAAUGCUUCAAUGACAUAAAUCCAUUUGUCAGUUGGUGGACAUUUGGAUUGUUUCCACUUUUUGAAUAUUAUGAAUAAUAGCUAAGCAAGCAGAAUUGCUUGGUCACUUUAUGUUUAUUGUAGCUUAUUUAUUUAUCUAUUUAUUUAUUUAUUGAGACACAGUCUUGCCCUGUCACCCAGGCUGGAGUGCAAUAGCACAAUCUCAGCUGACUUCAACUUCCGCCUCCCAGGUUCAAGCAAUUCUCCUGUCUCAGCCUCCAAAGUAGCUAGGCUACAGGCAUAUGCCACCAUGCCCAGCUAAUUUUUGCAUUUUUAGUAGAGGCGGGGUGUGACCAGGCUGCUUGAAUUCCUGAACUCAGGUGUUCCACCCGCCAUGGCCUCCUAAAGUGCUGGGAUUACAGGUAUGAGCCACCUUGCCUGACCAAAUGUAGAUUUUCUAUAGGCUCAUUUUAUCUAGUUUAAGUCAUUUUUUUAAUUGAUUGAUUCAUUGAGACAGAGUCUCACUCUAACCCAGGCUGGAAUGCAGUGGCAUGAUCUCAGUUCACUGCAACCUCCGCCUCCCAGGUUCAAGCGAUUCUCCUUCCUCGGCCUCCCUAGUAGCUGGGAUUACAGGUGCCUGCCACCACACCCAUCUAAUUUUUGUAUUUUUAGUAGAAAGGGGAAUUUCACUAUUUUGCCCAGGCUGGUCUGGAACUCCUGACCUCAAGUGAUCCACCUGCCUCAGCCUCCCAAAAUGCUGGGAUUAUAGGCAUCAGCCACCAUGCCCAGCCCUCAGAUCACUCCUUUUAAUUGCUAAUUUGCUAAUUGUUUCAUCAUAAAGAACUAUUCAGUUUUAGUUAUUGCACAUAUCAAUAGUUCAUUCCUUUUUUUGCUGAAUAGUAUUCCAUUGUGAGGAUGUAACACAAUUUGCAUAUUCAUUUACCAGUUGAUGCACAAUUGAAUUGCUUAUAGUUUUUGCUAUUUACAAAUAAAGCUACAGUGAACAUGUGUUUGUAUGAUUUAAUUGUUACUUAGUUCUUGAGUAAAUACCUAGUUGUGGCGUGGUUGUGUCAUAUGUGUGCAUAUACUUAACCUUUUAAGAAAACUGCCAAAUUACUUCCCAGAGUGGUUGUACUAUUUUCUAAUCCUAUCAGCAGCAUAUCAGUGUUCUAUUAAGUUGUUUCUAAUAUGCCACUUUGAGCUCUAUUUAUUCAUUUCUAGAAGUUCAAUUUGUUCAUAUUCAAAUCUGCCUUGGAAUAUUGGAAGAUCCCUUUAUUUUAAUUUUAAAGUCUCCUUUAUAUUUUAAGUAUAUUAUAUUUGCUUUUCCCAUUUUUUUUGCAUUUGAUAAUUCUACAAUCUUCAAUCUAUUUCACUUUGAUUCUAUUUAUAGCUUUUAAUGACAGCCUGCUCACUGAGGCAUUUUUUUCUCAUGUGUAUAAGAUUUUUGAUUGUGGAUUCAUGUUCCUUGUAACAUAUUUAUGGGAAAUACAUGAAGUCGGAGUUUAAGGUAUCGUCUCUCAAGAAAGAUGUAUCUUUCAUUCUGCCAAGUACGAGGGCAUCUUGCUGACUUAGGACCACUUUGAACUAAAUUAUUGGUCUGUGUUGGGUAGAGGAUCAUAAGUAAUGUAAACAGGGCUUUAAACCCCAUGAGUAAAGACUCUCCUGAUUUGAAAUGCCUAUGACUCUCCUUUAUGUUUAGAUUGAUUUAUUAAUUCAAUGGAAUUCCAUUAAUCUUCAUCAUUAAAACAACAGCUUUACUGAGAUAUAAUUUAUAUGCCAUGCAAUUCACCCAUUUAAGUGUAAACUUUAAUGGUUUCAGCAGCUCCCAUACAUACUUAUGGCUUUUAAUGGAAGUUGACAUAAUUCACUGUAUGAUCAAUGAAUGGAUAAAAUGCAAUAAAACAAGACAAGAAACCAUCAGACUAGUUGUCACAAACAUGAACUAUACAAGCUGUAUCAGGUGCUUUUUAUCUAUAGGUACCUAUAUGUAGUUAGAAGGAAUGUCUUCCACCCUGAAGCCCUGCAGGGUCUCCCUUAUGUCAAGGAAUGCCUGUAUCUGUGGAGAACACUUACCUUAAGUGGAGAGGAUACUGCCAUGACCUUCCUGAUUAGUUCCUGUUAUAGUUCCACCAAAGAGAUGUAGCAGAGCUUGGACUGUUUGCAGUCUUCAUCUGCGUAGAACAUGAUGAGAGGACCCUGCCCAUAUUGGCUGUCCCUCAACAAUUUUUAAAGCUAGACCUGAAAGGCAUGAGGUGAGUUUAACUGCAGUUGACUGAGCAGUCACAUAGAUGAGAGUUGAUUCCACUUACGUGCAAUACUCUCUGUUGAUCCUGGAGCAGAGGCAGAAGAGGUGCACACAAGUUUAUUCAAUGACAGACAAUCUAGUGUCCUUAUAUACGUGGCUUGAGAUUUUGAUGUGAAGAUUUGAUGUUAAUAAAUGAGCGUAUAACAUUCAGAAAUGAAGUUCAGGGAUAUCCUGUGCAUUCCACCUCCUGGCCUCCCCAAAAGUGUAGCCUCCUUUUCCUGUUGCUGUGGGUUUUGGGGGACCCACGUAAAGCAAAGGUAGGAUGAUGCUUUAUCAAGGGUUUGUGAUUAACAAGAAGUGGCAUAGGGCUUCGACUGACAGACAGUUUAAGGGUAAAAAUGGAAGUUACUGUCAUACAUUUAUCAAAAAAUUGCCUGGAUUACAUGGACACAGGGAGGGGAGCAUCACACAACAGGGUUCGUUGUGGGGGAAAAGGAGAGGGUCAGCAGGGGGUAGGGAGGUUGACGAGGGAUAACAUGGUUAGAAAUGCCAGAUACAGGUGAUGAGGGGAUGGAGGCAGCAAACCAUAUUGCCUUGUAUGUACCUGUGCAACAAUCCUGCGUGAUCGGCACAUGUACCGCAGAACCUAAAGUGCAGAAAGAAAAUAUAUAUAUAUAUGAAUAAAAUAAAAAGAGUGUAUAAUGACCUUUUCAUUUCUUUUAAAAGCACAAUUAUAAUAAUUUGACUGGAUUAUGUGCUUUUUAAAGUUUAUUAUUAAAUACAUACAUCAUUUCACCACCAUCUCAUUAUUUAAAUAAGAAUGUAGGGGAACAUAUUUUUAAAUGGUAGAGCAGUAUGUAAAGGGAAGCUAUAGUUGGUAUAAUAAAACAUUUUGCAUUACUGGCUGCUAUAUAUCACCAACUUAUGUUGGCAGCUAUAGUCAUCAAAUCAUUUAUUUUAAAACUAAUCAGAGUUAAUACUCAGAUGUCUCAUUUUGAGAAUGUAUCUAGAAAAUGAGCAGGAAAACCUGGAAUGAUUCAUUAAAAGGACAUUUGAAAUAAUGAAUAGGUAGAGUCAUUGUUUUAUAAUUUUCUGUAUUCUAACAUUCCCUCAAAAGAAGGUUGUUCUGUGCAAACACGGCGUGUCCGUGCAGCAUGAUUCAGGGGUAGGGGUUAGAAUCUGGCGCAGUUCAUUAUUGACUGUGUUUGCUGGUCUGAGCUUUGCAGGCAUACUCCUGCUUUGCCUCUGAGGUGAAUCCCCGCAGGUCAUGUUCUUGGCUGACAGAGCCAUUUAUUAAUAAUUACAUUGUGAUUUUUCAACAGGGAAGGGGUGGUGAUAUUCCUAAGGAGACUUUUUUAUUGGGGAGGGCACGAAGCUUUAGAUAUUGUAGUGGUCUGUGAACCUCCAAAGGCCACAGUGUGCAAACAGAUCUAUCUGUGCUGGUAAAGUUGCUUGGGGUGAGGGAAGCAAUUUGGAAUAAAAGUUGGAAAAGGCUCUUUACGGGGUCAAUAAUGAAUAAUAGGUUGACUAAUCUGGCUUUUGAGGAUUAGGAGCAUUGUGCCAUAUAGAACACAGACCACAGGGGUCUGAUAUGCAUUUGGAUUAACAUGCUCUGAGAAAAGCUUAUUGUGGGCAGAUAAUGCAGUCAAUUCAGUUGAGAUGUCUUAUCUAAAUGUUCCCUUAGCAAAGACAAGAAAAAGGUUUCUUGUUCUUUAUCGAUAGCAUUGUAUAAAAAAUGCAAGUUCAAGUGUGUUUGUCAUUCUCUAAGACUAGAAGCUUAGUUAGUCUUUUCCUCUGAUUCCCAUACGCUUUCCACUAAGUUUCAGCUUCAUUUAGAAAGUGUGUUCUGUUCUCUUAUGUCCUUUUACGGUGGUGGCCACAGGUGAGGAGAUAGAAGAAAGAGGGAUGGUGAUACUUUCCUAAUUGAGAUUAUGAUGAGCUUGGAAAAGAGCUUUGCCUCUGAAUGACUUUUCUUUAUGGCUACUUACCUUUAUUCCAGAAACUGGUACAAAACUGUUAAAAGUAAUUUUAAGCAUGUUCCAAGAGUGUUUUGCACCAGUGGUUCCUGUAUGCUAUAAUAUUAGAAUCACCCAGGAAGCUUUCAAAAUCACUUAUACCUGGUACCAACCUCAGGGAGCCUGAUUUGAUUGGUCUGCUGGGGGAGCCUAGGGAUCCACAGCUCUCGGAGUACUCCAGGUAAGUCUAAUAUACACCCAGGGGCAGCAGUGUCACUUCAUAUUGUAAAGGCGCUGCUCUCCUUAGUGGACGGCAUCCGCCGCCUAUGAACCCUGGGUUUGCUUUGGAUCAGACCAAAGGCAUAGUAUUUUGCAGUCGGGUUCAUGGUAUUUCUGCCAAAGCCCUGAGUCUAUAAGAGACCAAUUUAUAGCAUUUGUCACGUUUAAAUAAUAACAAUAAUAGCUGACCAUUCACUCAGCCUCUGCCCGUUUAAUGCACUUGUUGACGAGUUAGCUUAUUUAGCUCUCAUACUAGAGGUAAGUGUAAACCCUUAUUAUUUCCAUUUUCAGGUGGAUAUAGACCAGUAGGAAAGAACCAGGUUAAGAUUGCAACGUGAUUGGGAGGCUGGAGCGGGCAGAUCAUCUGAGAUCAGGUGUUCGAAACUAACCUAGCCAACAUGGCGAAACCCUAUCUCUACUAACAGUAGAAAAAUUAGCUGGGUGUGGUGGUCAAUGCCUAUAAUCCCAGGUACUCAGGAGGCUGAGGUGGGAGAAUCACUUGAACUUAGGAGGCAGAAGUGGUAGUGAGCCAGGAUCGUGCCACUGCACUCCAGCCUGGGUGGCAGAGCAAGACUUCUCCAAAAAAAAUAAAAUAAAAUAAAAGAUUGCAGCAUAAGCAAUAUGACCUUGAAUCUCUGUCAUAACCAUUUAUUCUACUCCUUCUUAGAAAUUCCCAGUGGGGUUCCCAGUGACUUCUGGAAAAAAUGAUUAAGCACUUACAAGGCGUAAAGGAAUCUGUAAGAUAUAAAGGUGAAGGGGAACAGGUGCAUCCCUCAGGAGGUCACAUACUCCACAGCCUAACAGGGAGUACAUGCAAUCAAGGGCAAUGCUGGCAACUUACAAGUGCCCUGAAGAGGAACUCUGGAGGAGAGAAAGAUUCCUGUUAACGGAAGUGAGCAGCAGGAGGGUACACUUUGAAUGUAGUUUAUUUAGAACUGUGUCAGGUUGUAUAGAGCGUCAAUUUGUAGAAACAUUUGGUAAAAUAUAUGGAAUCAUUAACUUCCAACCAUUUGACCCAUCACAAUGCUAACUUUGUAUAUUUGUUUAUUUAUAUUAAAAAAAUUUUUUUUUUCCUUUCUGAGACUGGGUCUUGCUCUGUUGCCCAUGCUGGAGUGCAGUGGCACGAUCUCAGCUCAAUGCAACCUCCUCUUCCUAGGUUCAAGCGAUUCUCCUGUCUCAGUCUCCUGAAUAGCUAGGACUACAGGCACAUACCACCACACCCUGCUAAGUUUUUUGUGUAUAUUUAGUAUAGAUGGGAUUUCACCAUGUUGGCUAGGCUGGUCUUGAACUCCUGACCUCAGGUGAUCUGCCUGCCUUGGCCUCCCAAAGUGCUGGGAUUAUAGGUGGGAGCCACCGCACCUGAUCCACAUUGGUAAUUUUAAAUGUUUCAGCCACUGAGGUGGAGCCAGGUGGAGGAACAUGCAUGUGGCAGUACCUUGAAAGCCCAGUGGACAUUAAUGGCUUCACAUCAGCUGCAGAAUGGCUGCAAAUUCCACUGACCAUUGGCAAGACCCAUGGCUUGCUGCUUGCAUUAGCGUCACCUCAAGAUAAUCCUUGCAACUGAAUGACUGGCUCAUCUAGCCCAUGGACCUGUACUAAUGGUUUUCUAAACAGUAGCAGUACAGAGUGACUGCAAUAUCAGCAAGCCACUUGUAAACAGCAGGUUAUUAUAGAUGACAAGAAGCUAGGUAGACACCACACUUCAUGAGGGUUGAGGGCGCUGUAGCUCCAGUGGGUUGUGGGAAAGACUUAGGGGAUUGAAUUCACAAAGCAGACAUGGGCUGGGCCCUGGGCCUUGGAGAUAGGCAAGUUCUUUCCCCAAGCACCAGUCAUGUGGAAUUCAGAUGUGGAUAUAUUCUAUCAUCAGUCCAAGUAACUUUUCCAAAUCAAAGAAUACUCUUGACUUGACAUUUAUACUGUAUUUCAAAAAUCUCUUAUCUCACAUUUUGACCUUGGGGAGCAUAUGGAGAGUAGAGUCCCUGACAUUUUUGUCUUUGAGUCCCCUACAGUCUGAACAUAGGACACCAGUGAUCAUUGUACACUUGUGUGUUGAAUUGAUCAGAAAUGUACACCAUGUAUCUGAGGAGCAACAAUUAGUGGCAAUAAUAUUGAUGGAUCUUAAUAGCAAUAACUUAGAGAUAUUUAAAAAUUGAAUAUAUGUACUGUACAUUAUUUUUGUAACAAUUAUCUGUGGCUUUUUUGGACUCCAUUUAACUCUUGUUAUAGACAUCCAGGUGAAAAAUCUUAUUAGUGUCCUGAAAAACUAUUGAGAAUUGUUUAUGAGAACUUUGUCAUUAAAAAUAACAUCCUGUGAAUAGUUGGAGAGCUCUAGAAAACAGAAAGCAGCAACCCGAGUGUUUCAGCUGGUCUGAUUAGGAAAGAGCUCUUCACAAAAAAAUAAUAACUCACAAGACAACAAGAAAUAGAUUACUUACAUUUCUCUUCAUUAAACAUCUGUAUCUCAAGGAGAAUGUCUUUGAGUGAUGAUGGAAUAUAUAGAAUAUUAUAAAUAAAGUUUCUCGAUUGCCAUGUUACUGGGUUUCUGGGCAGUUAGGGAGUGUUGUGAAACCAGUGGAAGCAGCAGCAAUUACCCCUUGGGAUUAAGAUUGGAAGAAUAAUUAUUAUGAUCAAUCUCCUUUUGCUCUGUUUAUACAACAUUCUUUGCUUUGAUAUGCUAAGAAUGCACAGUGGCUACUGGUUAACUGAGCAAACUGUUAGUUUAACAAAAGGGUUGAAUGAGUCAAAUUACAGCCGUGCUUCCUUUUAAUGGGAAUUACUCAUUGAUGGAAAAUUAUUACACAACAGACAGAGGUUGGUGUGUUUUGCUGAGUGUCUUGCAAAGAUUCAUAGCUUAUUUGUUCUUCUUCCUUCCUACCACUCUUCUAUUAGAUGAACAUCCUGACUUCUAAACUAUUCUAAUAAAAUUGGAACCUAAGUGUAUCUAAUUUCUGUAUAAUUCAAGGGUAUGGUUAAUCAGCCCGUCCUGGAGAAGUAGUUGGUAUAUGGACAAAAUGCUAGUUUGCUAUUUAAGAAUGAAGUAUUAAUAGGAAGGGAAUGAAUGAAUGGUCAAAUCCAAAGUGACAUUCAUGCAGGAAGAGUUUCUUUAGGUUGAGUCCAUGGUGAAUCUACCUAAGGGUAUACAGGAUCUCGUAUUGCUUGGGAAUAAUUCUAGGAGCACUUCAGGUCAAUCAAGAGGAAGAGUUUCUUUAGGUUGAGUCCAUGGUGAAUCUACCUAAGGGUAUACAGGAUCUCGUAUUGCUUCGGAAUAAUUCUAGGAGCACUUCAGGUCAAUCAAGAGAAUCUUAAGUGUGAUUAGUGAGCUCAAAAGCAGUACUUAUGAUUCCAUACUCCGUAAUAUUAUUUUCCAGGAGAAAAUAAUGAAGAAAUGUAUAUAAAAUAGUUUGUGAAGAGGUAUUUUAUUCAGUUUGCUUUUCGUGUAUUUUUGUAUGUGAUGCUAAGAUAUGUUUGUCAUAAUCCUUUCUACUAAAGCUUCUACUAUACUUUAAAUAUAUAUGCUGCUUUCUUCUUACUCUUGGGAAGAGUCCCUGCUUCUGAAUUCCACCAUACAAAAGUGCCCACUCCCCAACCUAAGUGAGAAUGUCUUUCUUGUUUUAUCAUUGAAUUUAUUUUCCAUGUAAAAGCAGGGUAGAGAGGAAAUUUAAAAAAAAACGGAAUUUCACAAUUGUUACCCAGGCUGGAGUGCAAUGGCGCGAUCUCGGCUCACCACAACUUCCGCCUCCUGGGUUCAGGCAAUUCUCCUGCCUCAGCCUCCUGAGUUGGGAUUACAGGCACCCGCCACCACGCCCAGCUAAAUUUUUGUGUUUUUUAGUAGAGAUGGGGUUUCACCAUGUUGACCAGGAUGGUCUAGAUUUCUUGACCUCGUGAUCCACCCGCCUAGGUCUCCGAAAGUGCUGGGAUUACAGGCUUGAGCCACAGCGCCUGGCCCUGGAAAUAAAAUUUUUAAGUUAACUAUUGAUGCCUGUAGGGUAUUAAUGCUCAACACAAAAGAAUCCUACAAUACCUGAGAAUAGAUGAAUUUUGCAAACGAUGAGUUGGACAAUGUAUAUAAAUUCUAUUCAAACCCAUAUUUUUUUUUCAAAUAAGAUUUUUAACACUAAUUUCUCUUCUUAGUUGUAUAAGGAGUUAAAGAACAAAAAGGAUAAUUUUAACAUUAUUUUUCAGAUAUGUGGUUUAUCAAUCAGAGAAAGAAUUUUGUUUCAGAGUGCCCCAAUACAAUACAGAUUAUGAACCAACAUUGAAGACGCUUGGGUCAUCUUUGAGUAGUGCUUUAUAGCUGUGAACCAGCCUUUCCCAAAUUUGUCAAGUUAGUUAAUACAUGAAACAGAACUGGACAUCCAUUAGGAAUUCAUAUCUAUAAAAAGAGCCAAUGGUAUCUUCUGCUUGUGGUUUGUAAAAUUGAAAUUUCAGCAGAAUGAUUAGUAAAGACUAAUUGUCGCCUCCUUCCCCCACCUCCUCGGCCUGCUGCCUUCAAUUUCUGAUUCACUUGGUCUUGGAUGGGGCACAAAAACUUGUAUUUUAAUUCCCUGGUGGAUACCAAUACUGUGGAUCUGGAAAUCCCACUUUGAGAAUGACUGUUGUAACCUAUUAAAUGCAUUUUACUUAUUUAUUAAAAAUUUUUGAUUCUUUAUUUUAAUAGGUUUUUAGGGAGCAGGUGGUGUUUGGUUACAUAUAUAAAUUCUUCAGUGGUGAUUUUUGAGAUUUUGGUUGCCCAUCACCUGAACAGUGUACACUGUACCCAAUGUGUAAUCUUAUCCCUCCUCCCCCCAAUGCUUUCUCCUGAGUCCCCAAAGUCCAAUGUGUUAUUCUUCUGCCUUUGCAUCCUCAUAUCUUAGCUCCCACUUACAAGUGAGAAACUACAAUGUUUGGUUUUCCAUUCCUGAGUUACUCUACUUAGAAUAAUAAUCUCCAGUAUCAUCCAGGUUGCUGCAGAUACCAUUAUUUUGUUCCCUUUUAUGGCUGAGUAAUAUUCCAUGAUAAAUAUAUACCACAUUUUCUUUGCCCACUCGUUGAUUGAUGGGCAUUUUGGCUGAUUCUACAUUUUUGCAUUUGCAAAUUGUGCUGCUGUAAACGUGUGUGCAAGUAUCUUUUUUGUAGAAUGAUUUAUUUUCCACUGGGUAGAUACAUUAGAAAAUUGGCCAGGUGCAGUGGCUCACACCUGUAAUCCCAGCAAUUUGGGAGGCAUAGUUGGGAGGAUCACUUGAGGCCAGGGCUUCCAGACCAGCCCGGGCAACACAGGGAGAACCCAUCUCUACCAAAAAAUUAAGAAGUCAACUGAGUGUGCUGGCUGUGCCUGUAGUCCCAGAUCCAUGGGAGGCUGAAGUGGGUGGGUCAUUUGAGCCACUAGUUCAAAGCUAUAGUGGGCUAUGAUAAUGCCACUGAACUUCAGCCUGGGUGACAGAGUGAGACUUUGGCUCUACAAAAUGAAAAAUAGAAAAUAAAUAUAAAAUAAAAGAGUUAACAUGUAUUGAGUGCUUACUAUGGAUUAAAAAUAGAAAAGUAAAAGAGCUAACAUUGUUGAGCACUGACUAAGAGCUUUUCUAAAUACUUUACAUAAAGAACUGCACUUAAAUCUAUAACAAGUCUGUGAGGUUGGCCUUGGUUUUAGCCAUGUUUUACCGAGGAGGAAAGUUCUGGUUUUAGCCCCUUUUUUAUAGUUGGAAAAAUGGAAAGUCAAAGCAUUCAAGACCCUUUUCUAAGUCACCUGGGAUGACUAGAAAGUGGCAGAUCUGGGAUUUAUACCUAGUAUAGGUUCAAACCUCAUGCUUGUAACACCAGGGAAAAAUAGAUCUUUGUAAGUUAACUCUUUUGUAUGUUUACUAAUUGUAUAAUUUUCCCACUGUACAUUUUUAUAUGUUGCCAAUUCUACUUUUCUGAGCUAUGUCAUGUAUAAAAUACCACACUUUUAAUAAUAUUCCAUGUGAUUACAGAUGGAGUCAUACACUUAGUUUUCCUUCAAUCUAUAAAUACUCAAGAAAUAAACAAGGAACAAGUUACUACCUAAAAGAUUACACUUGUAAAAAAAAAUCUCCUUGUUAUAAUGGACAGUAAAGAAAACAAGGCCAGAAAUUUUAUAGUUAGCAUGAUACUACCUAUAAGAAAAAAUUAUAUAUGGAAACAAACAAAUUUGAAAAGUUAGUAUCCCAUACUGCUAACAUCCACAAGAGAAAGGGAUAUAUAAUAUUUGGGAGUAUUUUGAAGCACAUUUUACACCAGAUUGUGGGCUGCUUCUUUAACAAGAACUGGAGGCAGUAUAUUUGACUAGAGUGAGAAAUGAAUCAUUUUAUUAGAAUUCCUUUUGCAUUUUAAAUCAGUGCAGAUAAGUGACUGUUCCAUAAGAAGUCUCUCCCUCUCUCUCUCUCUCUCUCUCUCUCUCUCUCUCUCUCUCUCUCUCUAUCUGUCUAUCUAGAGUCUUGCUUUGUUGCCCAGGCUGGAGUGCAGUGGUGCAAUCCCAGUUCACUGCAACCUCUGCCUCUUGGGUUCAAGUGAUUCUCCUGCUGCAGCCCCCAGAGUAGCAGAGAUUACAGGCACCUGCCACCACGCCUGGAUAAUUUUUUUUGUUUUUAGUGGAGACAGUGUUUUGCCAUGUUGGCCAGUCUGGUCUUGAACUCUUGAUCUCAGGUAUCUACCUGCCUUGACCUCUUAAAGUGCUGGGAUUCCAGGUGCGAGCCACUGAAACUGGCUAAGAAGUCUUUUUUUUUUCUAAGUGUUUAAUCCAUGUCCAAGUUCACUCCAGAACAAAAGUUGAAGCAGAGAGAAGUGUUAGCAAAGUCUUUGAGGCAAAGCUAACUUACGUGUUUCUUAGAAUAUUUAGCUCACUGACAACUCUCAGACUUCAUUUUAUUUGGAUAUCAACCUUCUACAGAGGAAGGCCUCACUCCUGUUUUCAAAUGUGAAACCAAGAAUUCAGAUUUUAAAUAGAUGUCGCCAGGUCUUAUCACAUAGAAUCACCCUCAGGAUUUCUUUUUCUUUUUUGAGACAGAGUUUUGCUCUCGUUGCCUAAGCUGGAAUGCAAUGGUGGGAUCUUUGCUCACUACAACCUCUGCCUCCCAAGUUCAAGCGAUUCUCUUGCCUCAGCUUCCUGAGUAGCUGGGAUUAUAGGCCAAACCACCAUGCCAGGGUAACUUUUUGUAUUUUUAGUAGAAACAGGGUUUCACUGUAUUGGCCAGGCUGGUCUCGAACGCCUGACAUCAGGUGAUCUGCCCACCUUAGCCUUCCAAAGUUCUGGGAUUACAGGUGUGAGCCAUCAUGCCCAGCCCACCCUCAGGAUUCCUGCCUCCUGCUCUUAUGUGCUGUACACUGUUCCCUGGGUUUUUCUUUAAGAAUGUGAGAUUUUGGUGCAUACAACAAGCUGAUGUAACUGUGGGAGUCAGCAGUUAUUUACAACAAACUUGGGGUUUUCCCUUUUUCUACAGGAUGUUCCUGCCCAUCACAUUAACUGAGGAAGGUGAAAAUGGCUUACCAAUAUGAACGAUGUAAAAGCGGUGUCCUUUUCUGGAGACAUUUGUACCCAUCACCCUUGGCUGACCACACCUUUUGUAAAUUCAGAAUGAUCACUUCUAACAAGGUAUCAACAUUUUCGAUUACUUCUGCUCUUGCCAGUAGAGUAUAAAACUCUAAUGACAGCUAUGUGUGCAGCAUGUUAUUUUCAUUGCUUGCAGGAGAGAAAACCAUGUGUUAUAUUGUCUGCAGAGUAAUUCACUUUGAAGUUACUACAGUAUAAAUAGGAUGCUGCUUUACGUGUGCAUUUAUAAGUUAACAUUUUUUACUGUAGACUUGGAUAAUUAGUGGUUAAAAAAAAACCUCAGUCAAGAGUUCCUAAUCUAAGUAUGAUCCCUUGGCCCUUUAAAAAUUGGUACGGAAAUCCAUACCAUUAUGUUUGCAAAGUGCAAAAGGGAAGCUAGAAACACAUAGUUAGUUGCUGAUGAAAUGAGUGGUGUUAAGAUAUAUAUGAGAUCAGAAAUACUGUUAAGGCUCUGCCCCUCCUGUGUGACUGGGAUGUCAGAUUCCAGAGAAUACCGUGUUCUGGUAUUUUGAGCACAGUGCUGAGGUCUGGAGGUCUGAAGCCCUGUGGGUCCCACAACACUGCAGUGCCAAAGGACUCAGUGUCCUGAACUGACUUGGAGAUUGGUUGUGCCUGCCACCAAAACACUGCUGCAUCCACCUUGGAGUGAGCCUCUUCUGCCUCCUGGAAAGUGACUAAGGGCUGGAAAGCAGAGAGGGGGGCCUUCCCCAAACCACACACACAGGCCUUGUGACCUUUUGUUUUUGCUGGGUAAUGAACACUUGAUGAUGAGGCCAAAUUGGAUCUCUAAGUCCAUUCCUUGAAGCCACAUAAUAGUUACAGGGCCAGGAUUAUCAACUCCUACCCAUUUCUAACCAUCUGAGAGUAUUGCUAUUCACCAAAAGAAGCUUUCAGCUGGUAUACUUAUUAUGUAUUUAGAUAUUAGGAGUCCUUCUGGAAUCCUCAUUAUAUCCUUGCUUCCCCAGUAGAGUUGUGCCAGCUAUUUUGAUAAUGAAAACGUGCAGGUGAGCACUUUUGGAGUUUAAACCCAAAGGAACUAUUGCACUCAAGGAGAAGCUAGGAUGCCAGUUUGACAGAAACAUCUUUGGUGUCGGAAGCUAAGCUUACUGCAGGGUACGGUAUUGCUUGAAGCUCAGAAAAGCUACAGCUUUAAAAAGCAAUCUUGCAGCAUAUAGCAGGUAAUUUUCAAGAUAAAUUACUUUUUCUAAAUAAUAUAGGAGUUAUGGGGUUAUCGGUACAAAAGGAUUUUGAUAAUUCUGUUUCAGAUACCCAGUGCAUAUUGUUCUGAGUAAUUUUAAAGACAGUAAACCGAGGCAAGAUCUCUCAAAUCCAUGAUUUUAGAUUGUUUGAAAAUACCAUUAAUCUCUUUAUAGCCCUUUUUUAUGAAAAUAUUUCUAAAUCUAGUUGAAAUUGUGCCUGGAAGAAAGCUUAAACUGUCUACAUAAUCUUGGGUUAGCUCUGGAGACCCCAUCCAUAUUUAUAGUUAUGCUAAAGAUCUAGUAAACCCACUGCAUGCCUUGUAUUUAGGAAACUACAAAACCAGUUUCCAAACUAAGCUUUAUUUGAUUAUCUUCCCAUGAGGAUAUUGCUUUUUAUUGAAUCAUUUUAUCCCCCUCUGAGUUUUUCUUGAGUGCCAAAGCAGAGUUAAAAAUAGAUCGAAGAUGGCUCAAAUUAUGUAGAAACAUAGUGUGUAUUUCUUAUUUGUGAACUAUGGAAGAAUUUUGUUUCCUUUUCUGAAUAUCUGCAAAUAAAAUGUACUUCAUUGGAAGAGGCUUUGGCUUUAAAAAGCAUUUGAUAUUUUUAACUGAAAUUAAAUAAUCCAUUUAGUAGCAUUCCCAAACACAAUCUCUCUGGGUUUUUUUUAAGCCAGUUUUUGCACAGCUAAUAGAACAUUAUAUUACACUAAGCAGGAUACAGACAGUGCUGCCUUUAGGUCAAGCAUUCAUUUUGAUUUCCUUUUGGCCAGUGGCAAGCAAGCCUUAUUUCCCAGAUCUUCACAGCCAGUGACGGAAAAAUAUGGCCCUGGGUGCGUGUUUUCCACAUUGCCAUUUCCUGCCAGCACCAGUCCAUCCUGGUCAGCACACUGUGAUCCUGCAGCUCUCUUCCCAGAUACUUCCAUCACUCCAUACCUGUCAGCACAGGCCCCUGUUGGAAGAUCCGAAACUCAAGUGUGUCUUUUGAAGCCAGUGACAUCAAUUGCCAAGCCCAUACAGAGCUGCUCCAUCCCAGCAGCCUCUGGGACCACCAGGUACCUGCCCUACUAGAAGGCCUUCUUCUGUUCAGAGCUAGGUCACUGUUCAAUUCCUUUGUGGUCCCUGGUUCAGACUCCACACCGGGUGUGCAGCUUAGAAUGGCUAACACUGCCAACUCCCCAGGGCGAUCCUCUCUAAUGCAGGCUUACACUGGGUUGGGCAGCGCUUGGCACCAGUGUGAAGCUGGACAUUAGAGGCAGAGUCCCCUGAGGACCUGACCCCAGCCCCAGACUCUGCACCUCUCUUUCGGUAUUUUCCAGGGGAUAUUGUUUCCUACUCUGUUCGAGGCUGUCCCAGUCACUCUGGUGUAUUUCAAUUACUUUGAAUUUCGAAAACUCUGACAUGAGGAUGAACUCCUGAAUAUAUCUAAUAACAAAUUUCAUUUUUUUAAGUGAAUUACUGGAAGUAAGAACUCUUCAUUUCAUGGGUUGCUGUGUUUUAUUUGAUGACACAAAGUGAGUAUACAAAUGAAAGCCAGAGAGCCAUUCUUUGAGAGCACAGCUUCAAGGCUCUGAAAAUGAUCUCAAUUCCAAAAGCCUCUGUGCCUGUGACCUAUGUGGCUUGGCUCCAAGUUACAGUGAUGCCUCCUUGAUGGAUGAUCUUGUCAUUUGACACCAAGUACAAUUGCAGUAGUAACAAUAUGUUCAUUCUUUCUGAACCCUGUAUGAGAAUUCCCAGGCUUAGGGACCGAUUGUGAAAAUGACAUUGAUUGAUAAGUCCCCUGUGAGCUUUUAAACGUGCCUCUCUUUAUAGGAGUGCUCAUACUGCAAGGGUUUUUUAAAUUGACUCUAUUAAUAUUGUUAUAUUCUUAUGAUAUUAUUCUAGUUUAUUUACUUUUCCGAAGAAGUCUGCCUUAAUCUGUUAGGAAAAACACCCUUAAUGCAGCGCAGUAUCCAAGUCAUAAACCAUUGCCAUUCUGUUGACUACACCCUGGGGUAACCUGUUAGGAAGACGUUUAUUACACAAUGUUUAUUGCACGCCCGUGUGUCCAUUGUUCUUUGUUAAGUGCCCAGGGAAAUAUAAAGCAUAAGAUCACCCUUUCUCCUUAAGAGUAUACAGUAAAAUUUAGAAGACAGGUUUAUAUAAAAUAUUAAAUAUAACGACAUGGCAGCUUAGACGAAUGUCAUCCUGUGACUGAGCUCUUGGUGAGAAACUAUCACUAGAGGAACAACUGAUAAAGAAAAAAAAAAGUCUCAGGGAUGCCUUGGAACUGCUGUUGACUCCACCUUUGCUUCUAUCUAAGGGAGCUUUAGAGCUUGGAGAUAAAAGGGAAGGGACUGAGAUGGAGCAGAUAUGGGGAGACUUUGAGCCUGAGACCUGCCUGAAGGUGGGUGGGUGGGAAGGGUACAGCAGGUGGGAUUCCAGGGCAGGCUCCCAGAAGGACUUGUGUGGGAUGCAGUGGAGAUUUGAAGAGGUACAGUGGGGCACAGUCUGUCUCUGCAUGAGUAGGGAGGGACGGGGCCUCUGGUGUGAGCUUGCCUGAGUUCUAAGCCACGCUUUGCCAUUUAUAGGCCUGACAAUUUGGAGAAUGAUAUUCUCUUUCUUUGCAUCUUAGUUUUUUCUUUUUUUUUAUGGUGGUAAAAAAUACAUAAAAUGUACCAUUUUGAUAAUUUUAAGUAUAAAAUUCAGUGUUACUAAGUAUAUUUACAGUGAGUGGUGUGACCAUCACUCUAUCCAUUUCCAGAACUUUUUUAUCUUUUAAAUCUGAAAUUAUAAACUAACUCCUCAUCUCCCGUCCCCAAACCCAGCCUUCUUCUUCUUUUGUCUCUAUGAAUUCGCCUAUUCUAGGUACAUUAUGUAAGUAGAAUCAUUUAGUAUUUGUCCUUCUGUGUCUGGCUUAUUUCACUAGCAUAUCAUUUAGAUUCAUCUGUGUUGUACCAUGUAUCAGAAUUUUAUUCCUUUUUCACUUUAAAUAGUAUUCCACAGUAUGGAUAGACCACAUUUUAUUCAUCCAUUUCCCUGUUGAUGGACACCUGGGUUCUUCCACUUUGGGCUGCAGUGAGAACUGGUGUACAAGUGUCUGUGUGAGUCCCUGUUUCAGUUUUCUCGGGUGUGUACCUAGGAGUGGAAUGGCUGGGUCAAAUGGGAAUUGUGUUUUUGACUUUGGACCUUAGUUUUCUUAUGGACUAAGUGGGGAUGCUGAUAGUUCCUAAAACACAGGGGUAUUGUGAGGGUUAAGUAUUAAUACAUAACAAAAUGUUUAGACAUGUUUAGAAGAGGCCGGCAUGUGGCAAACUCUAGCAAGUGGUGCCUUGUGUGAUUUUACCGAAGGCACCGGUUGGCCCUGUCUUCAGCCAGCUCAGUCAGCACCUGGAGGGGAGGCCUGAGGAUCAGCACUGCCUAAAACGAGGCAGCAUCAUAGCAGGUGCUCACUUAAUGUCAUCAAUAGGUUCGUGGAAACGGUGACUUGAAGCCAGGCAAUAUAUGACAAAAUCAUAGGCUAAUUGGUAUAAACAAGAAUUAAGUUUGUAUGACAGCUUCUGGUCACAAAAGCAUCACCAAACUUCUGAAUAAAGACCAAAACACUUCUAAUAUUCUAUAAGAAAUGUGAGUUAUCCAUACAUUUAAGAAAGUUUAAUAAAAACAAGUAAGGUAGACUGGGCGUGGUGGCUCAUGUCUAAUCCCAGCACUUUGGGAAGCCGAGGCAAGUGGAUCACUUGAGGCCAGGAGUUUGAGACCAACCUGGCCAACAUGAUGAAACCAUGUGUCUACUAAAAAUAGAAAAAUCAGCCAUGUGUGGUGGCACUCACCUGUAAUCCCAGCUACAUGGGAGGCGGAGGCAGGAGAAUCCUUGAACCUGGGAGGCGGUGGUUGUAGUGAGCCAAGAUCUUGCUUCUAUACUCCAGCCUGGGUGACAGAGGGAGUCUCUGUCACAAAACAAACAAAAUAAGUAAGGUAGUGAUUUACCCACUAUUUUUUUUUUUUUUGAGACGGAGUUUCGCUCUUGUUACCCAGCCUGGAGUGCAAUGGCGCAAUCUCGGCUCACCACAACCUCCGCCUCCUCGGUUCAGGCAAUUCUCCUGCCUCAGCCUCCUGAGUAGCUGGGAUUACAGGUGUGCGCCACCAUGCCCAGCUAAUUUCUUGUAUUUUUAGUAGAGACGGGGUUUCACCAUGGUGACCAGGAUGGUCUCGAUCUCUUGACCUUGUGAUCCACCCGCCUCGGCCUCCCAAAGUGCUGGGAUUACAGGCUUGAGCCACCGUGCCCGACCUACCCACUAUUUUUGUUCGCGGUCUUGGGUGGCAAGAGCCUGUCCCAGAAGCUUAGGGUACCAGGUGGUCACCAAGCCUUGAACAGGGUGCCAUCCCAUCGCAGGACCACUCACAGACACGUGCACACUCACACUGGGACUGUGUAGGCAUGCCAGUUAUCCUCUGGGAUUCUGCAGACCUGAGGAGAAUGGGAAAACUCCACACAGACAGCGGCCCAGGGCAGGAAUGGAUGCUAUUUGAGAACUGCUGAACCUACUCGUGCUUCUGGACAGUCAACGCAAAAUGUUUCGCUGUGAGUAAUUCACAGAGUUCCUGUUUUGUCCCAGCUUUGGCUACUUCUGUGAUCUCACUAUAGGUAGAUGAUGAAAUGUUAUGUGUCCUUAUUUACAGAGGCUGAGAUCUGAAUCAAAAUCUUUAAAUUUAACCUCUUCCUAAAUUAUUUGAGGACAUAAAAUAUGAUUACGUGUUUUUGAUUUGAAAUGGUAUUCAUAGUACACAAAGACAAGGUAUCGGUUUCUGCAGCCAGGAAGUUUAACUCUGAAAUAUCACAUGUUUUGACAAGAGCCUCCUGGGGAAGGGAGUACGCAAAGAGGCGGUUUCCUGUUAAAAAUUCAGCACAUUGUGCUGUAAGUGCUGUGAGUUGGGCUAAGGAUGAAAAAUCUCCUUUGAUGUGUAACUCAAGCGUGGAUGUUUGGCUGUAGCUAAAAGCCCGAGAGCUCUCCAUGGUGUGUGUGUCCUGAGGAAGUUAGGACUGCAGAUGUGUGUGUUGCUCACUGCCACUGCGGAAGGGUCAUCUUGCAAUAAACACAAACACAACUUUCCGAUUCUUCAGACAGCCUGCUUUUCAAAAUUAGUAAAAGUUAGUUAAAUAUUGGAUUUAAAUUCCUUGUCAAAUCCAUCGAACAAAGAAUCUAGCGAAUUGUGAGUAAGCUAUGGAUCAGUGAACAUAGCAUAUUUUUAUAUGCUCUGUUUGAGUCAAGUAAAAGGACAACAUUGUCAGCUUUUUUUUAAGGCUUGCUUCCUUUGCACGAUAAGGAACAAAGUAAGUUUUGCAAAAUGAAGUGAUUGUGAGUACACAAUCAGAUGUAUGUUACAAGCCCCAGAGGGUAUUAUCACCAGUAAACACUGAAGCUGCGUUAAUUUUGUAUGGCAAUCAUUUUGUGAAAGUGGGUAGGUACUUUGUUAAAACAAGGAACGGUGGGCUCUCUCAGACAGGAACUCACUGAGGGGAACAGACAGAAGCUUGUCUCCUUCCUUAGGCCUCUAGCAUCUGUCUUCAAAUUGCCUAAAAUUCUUUUGAGCAGGCAUUGUUGGGGAAUGAAACUGCGUUAAUGCAGGGGUCCCUGUGUCACCAUGAGCAUCCUCACUCAGCCUCCGUUAACCCAGGGAGGUCUGGAGGGUCUCUUCAUUGGUCCUUCUAAACACAAAAGAAUGAUAAAAAAAUCUACUCUUUGCUGAUGCUUGAAAUUCCAUUAUCAAAAGAACAAAAGCAUUUCAUUCUGCAACCUACAACAAAAGUACUUUCGGAUUUAAUGCCUUAAUGUGUGACUGUGUUUGAGUCAGGGCGUCAUAAGUCAGGGAAACAAUUCAAAUGACUGCUUUGUUAGGAGGUAAAAGGGCACAUGCUGUCCUGAGUGCCUGCAAAGGCUGAAGAGUCCUGUGGAGGGGACGUGGGAAGGUGGAGGUCACAGGUAGGGUAGUGAGGGGUGCGUUGAGGGGAUCAGAGAUUCCAGCCCCAGGCUUUAGGGCUCCACAGCCCCCCUCCUGCUCACCCUCUCAGCUUUAUCUGACACAGCUCCAAAAGGAGCUGGCCCAAGAGGGACUUCUUUCCUGAACAAGCAUUUCUGCCCAUGAUGAUUUAUAAGGAUCACUUUUUAAACAUGGUUGAGUUUGUAUAACCAGGGGAUUAAUUAGCUGAGGAAUCACUGUGACAGUAACACAGAUAAAGCACCAAAACCAAAGGCCGUAGAUGGAGAGAAUGAAACACACAGGUCACCUCCACCCGCUUCACAGCAAGGUGGGCUGGUCAAGGGCACCAGUGAGUUGGCCUGGCUGAGAAGGGGGUGGGGUUUCUAUGGGAGAAGAGGAGACAUUCCAACCAGAGAGAAGAGAGCUGUAAGAGCAGGUGCAGGAAGUCACUGGUACAUUAGAUCCUUUAAGACCCCAGUGAAUGGACCUGUCUUUCUUGUUAUGUUCUACUUGGAGCUGACCUGAGAUUGUCACUAUAGUAAAUUCAUCAAAAGUUCUUCUCUCAAGAGAUGUGGACUCCAGCCUCUAGUACUCUGCACUAAACCAUGAAACUUAUGCACAUCUGAGAGAUGCCCCUUUGUAGGUUUGUGAUUAUUCCAGUGUAGAAUCAGAAAUAUAAAGAUAGCAGGUUUCUGUUCUGAGUGCAGGAGUUUAGGAUCAUUCAUUCUUGAGGGACUUAAUGAUUAUGUUAAGUGUGCCUCAGUACAUGUAUACCACAGCCGUAUGGUACAUUUAUGUUUUUGUGUUAAAAAUAUGAAUUCUUUAAAAGCCUAGAAAUAACUCCAAAUCAGAAACCAUAGAAUCUUAAAACAAAAUCUCAUGUAAUUUGAAAAUAUCAUUAUUGUGCCUACACAUAUUACCACAGAUAGUGUAGAAUGAUUUGCUUUAGGGUUAGAACAAGCCUUGGAAAAAGCCCAGUUGUUUUCUCCAUAAUUAUAUUAUGUAGUAAACUUCCAGCAUAGCUAGUAUUUGUGGAUUAAGUGUGAAAUUAGUAUCAGCUAUGAAACCUUUUGAAAAUAAACCUACAUAUUCAAUAGCAUAUGGCAUAGGGAAGCCAGCCCGUUGCAUCUAACCAUGCCAAAUAGCUCCGCUGUAACUUGAUAUCAGAAAUGUUGGACAAUAUAUGCUGAAAAACAUCCUAGUUUUCACAUAACAACUUGAUUUUAACAGCAAUUCAAAUGCAUGUGUGCUUCUCUGCAAAAAUAUAUGUAUAUGUGUAGCUUGUUGGGACAGUCUGAAUCUUUCUAUGGCCAAACAUUUCUGUCUUCUCCUUCAUCAUCCAAGAAAAAAAUCCUGUGUCUAUAUGGGAUAACUGGCCUGAAUUGGUCCUGAAUAAUGCAGUCUGAUACCUUCUAUGGCCCUGCCUGCCAUCUUGUCAUGAGUCAACUGUGAUUAGGAUGAAUGGGAAAUACUGGUUUAUGAUAUCUCCGGACUACGCGCAAUGUCAAUUUGCACAGAGAAAGUCUCAUUCACAUGGAGAAAGAGUUGGCUGGGUAUAGCAAAUCAUCAUUGUGAGCACUGAUUUGAUAUUGUCUUCCUGUAGAUAGAGCCCAGGUAUAAUGUUAAAAUCUAAUGUGGAUAAUAGAGUUGAUUGUAGUCUGCAGCAACGCUUUGUGAGAAUGAUAACAAAACACCAGUUUUGAUGAUGAGGUUAUUAUUAGAAACUGAGGGUUUUAUAGCUGGAAGGGAACUGACAGGUUUCAGAUGAAAACUCAAGCCAUAAUAUACAGUGACUUGUGAAAAUUACAAAGCCAAGGCUAUGAUUCUAUCCCUGAGUCUUCCAGCCCAGGGCCCUUUCUACUAAACCACACAGUACAGAGAUUGAGAAAUAAAUUAUACUUCGAUCAUGUUUGUCAUGGAAAAUCUACAAUCUUUAUUCUAACACACAGAGAUUCAGAAAGUAUGUUAAGUGACAACAUUAAAUGAGCCGCUCUCUAUUUAACAGUUACCUGUCUAUUUAAUGUUUAUGAUUUUAUAUUCUCACACCGCAUAACCACAUAAUUAAUAGACAGUAAUCAUGCACUGUGUCUGCUUGAUUUAGGAUGGAUCUCUCCCUUCACUAUGCUUUAAGUUUGCUGUGUGAAGCUGGUCUCAUACAGGUGGCUAGACUCUAUAGGUUGCAGCAGUGAUCUUCAACUAUGUAAUCAGUUAUCAACAAAAGGAGAGCUUAUAAAUUAUUCUCUUUGGGAAUGCAUCCAUUGUUGCUUGUCAUUGUAAUGGAAUGCCAAGCUCUCUAUGUUAUUUCCCAAUGGAUGUUUAACAUGGGCCAUGCACCAUUCACUCAACGAGCAUCAGUUGUGUUUGCUGCUCCUGAUACUUUGUCUAGCCUGAUGGGAUGCAACAUGGUUUUUGCCUCAGUGAAACUAUGAAAGAAGAUCGUAUGUGACUAACACUUAAUAUACGUUUACUAAAUGCCUAAUUUGUGCCAGAUACUGUUUUAGAACCAGAAUUCUAAUAUGGCUGGCAAAUUAUUUUGAAGAAUGCUAAGAAAAUUUCAAGUUAAAUGUUGACUAUGUAUCUGUGUUUGAUGAUGGUGAUGAGAAUGAUGCAUUGGGCAUUCAGUAACCAAGCAGUGUGCUAAAUAUUUCACCUGGUUUAUUUCAUUUGGUCUUCAGAACAAUCUUUUGUCAGAAGGAUGAUGAGAAAAGAGGCUAAAAUAGAUUAAAUAAUUGGCCCAAUAAUAAAAAAAGAAGGCUUAGUUAGAGAGAAGAGUCCUCAGAUAUGUAUGUACCUUGAUGUUAAAAUAGGAUGUUUUUGACAUUUGAUUGCUCAGGGAGAAGGUAGAACUGAAGGUGCUAUUAAAAGGUAAGUAACAUUAAGACAUAUAUGGCCAUCUUAAGUUUGAAACAAAAACUUUGUGUCAUUUUUCUGAAGUGCCAAAUUUCCCUUUGAUAUGAAUGUUUAUUACAUUUCUAAAAUGGUAAUAAGCACAUCUUCAACUGGAAAAUUUAAAUUACCCCUCUACUUUCCUAUGACUUAAAAUACAAAAAAAAAAUAGGAUAACAAUGAAAAUUUUAUCAAGUAAACUAUCAACCAAAUAGGGCAAAAUAAUUUAUUUUCAUUUGUUUCCUUAGGUUUAUAUAAUCACAUUGUUCCAUCGCAAAAUGUAAAUCUUUAUCAUCAUUAGCAUUUCUCCUUAAACAGAGAUCCUGACUAUAUUAAGUCUAUUUAUCACAAACUGCUAGGUGCUAAGCUCUGGCAUAUGGUUGUUGAAAUAACACAGCUUCCCCACAAGAGCUGCUAAGAAAUUGGGGCUGCCCAUCUGGCUGGGGAAAGCAGGAGGCAUGACAGGUGAUGGGCUGGUACUGGAUGAAAGCAGCCAAAUGCCUGCAUGACGGCCAUAAUUCAAGGCCAAUCUAGACAGCAUCUGAGAGGUCUCAAAGGAAAUGAAAUGAGGGCUGGGUGUGUCUCAUGGGUGAUACGUUGCAAUGAUUGAGAUCAAGGUCUGAUGCUUCUCAGUGGGCUUCUCAGAAACACUUGUAAAAGGGAUCUUCUACUGAGAACGUAAUCACUUCAGGCCUGGUACACCUAUUGUUCAGCUCCCUUGAGUUUCGGCACUCCUGCGCAAUGAGAGAGUGACUAAAUCCAGCAUGACCUAGUUCAUCUAUGGAGCAUUUGUACUCAUAGCAAGUAUCCCAGCUGACAAGGUCUUUCUCUGUAAUGUAGGUUGAUUUUAGGGUUUUAUAGUGGUUUUAUCAUGGCCAUGAUAAUAAGUUGGAGUCAACCAUUCUGAUGCUAUUGGCCUAGGACAUGGAAUACUGUAGGGUGCAAAGUGCAGACAAAACAGACCCAAGCCUUACUGGAAAAGAGAGCCUAAGAUAGAGGUCUUUUCUUUUCUUUUUCUUCCUUUUGUUUUUUUUGAGAUGGACUUUCAUUCUUGUUUCCCAGUCUGGACUACAGGCGCAAUCUCAGUUCACUGCAAACUCCACCUCCUGGAUUCAAGUGAUUCUCCUGCCUCAGCCUCCUGAGUAGUUGGGAUUACAGGUGCCCACCACCAUGUCCAGCUAAUUGUUCUUGGUAUUUUUAGUAGAGAUGGAGUUUCAUCUUGUUGGCCAGGCUGAUCCUGAACUCCUGACCUUAGGUGAUCCACCGGCCUCAAUCUCCCAAAGUGCUGGGAUUACAGGCAUGAGCCAAUGCACCUGGCCAGAUAGAGAUAUUUUCAGCAGUCACUCCUUAUCAGGUGAAAUCACAGUUUUUCCAGGAAGGAGGGAUUAAAAUUUAUACCUGUGCCUACCCUUCCUCCUCUCCCUUCCCCUCCCCCUUCCCCUUCCUUCUUCCCCUCCUCUCUACCCCUUCUUCUUCCCUCCUUCCCUCCUUCCCUUUUUCCCUUCCCCUCCCCCUUCCCAUCCCCCUUCCCCUCUUCCCUUACCUUCCCCCUUCCCUCCUCCCCUUUCCCUUCGCCCUCCCCUUCCCCUUCCUUCCUUUUUUUCUCCCUCCCUUCCUGCCUCCUUCCUUCCUUCCUUCCUUUCCAUUUAUCCAUCCAACAGACACUUAUUAAACUCUUCCUAUCUGUUGUGACUCAUAAAGUUAUAUUACACACUAGUGUGAGGAGACAAAAAAUAAACUAAUAAAUAAGUAAAAUCUAGAUAAUAUUAAACAGUACCUUAUUUUGCUUCAGAAAUUAGAGAUGCAGAAGACAAGAUGCCAGUGGUCUAAGACUGAAGCACUCUAAUAUUUAGCAGUUGACCAGAAAAGAAAAAAAAACAGAAAAGAGAAUGAAAAGUAAACCAUAGAGCCUUUAAGUCAUAGUGGCCAGGAAUAGAGAACUUCAAAGAUAAGGCUGACAGCUGUGUUCGGUGCUGCUUUGAAGCUGUGUAAGAUGAAUCAAGACUAGUACCUAUUGGAAGUGCUAACAUGGAAGCCAUUACUGACUCUAGCAAAGUCAAUUUCAAUGAAAUGAAGGGGUUAGAAGUCCAAUUAAAGUAGGUAAAUGGUUCUCAAAGAAGUGAAAGCUUUUUUGAAAAGUUUUGCUUCAAAAAGAAGUUGUAAAUUGUUGCUAUUAAGAAUGAUCUAGUGUGUGGUCUACAACUUUAGGCUGAGUUUGAAUUCUUUGUUUGCAAGUUGGGAUGAGCUGGUCACUUAACCUUACUGAACCUCCUUUAAGUUCUCCCAUGCAAUGUUGAUUUUAGAAAUACAGUUAAGGGAGAACACAUGGAGCUGUUUUUUAAAUCAUUUUUCCCUCCAUAUACUUAAAUUGGUAUGUGUGUUUUGAGAUAGGGAGAGCCAGUGGACGUAUUGGGGUUGAAAUUGUAUUACCUUUACAUUAUGUAAGUACAGUCAUACAUCACUUAAUGACAGAGGUAGGACACAUUCCUGAGAAAUGUGUCCUUUGGCAAUUCUGUCAUUGUGUGGAUAUCGUGUCAUUGUGUACUUACCCAAACCUAAUGGUCUAGACAAAGACACGCUGGGCCAUAUGCCAUAGCCUAUUGCGCCUGCGUUAUAAACCUGUACAGCAGGUUACUGUACUGAAUACUGUAGGCAGUCAUGGCACAGUGGUAAGUUUUUGUGUAUCUAAACAUAGUAAAGGUGCAGUAAAAUACAGUAUCAAAACUUUUUUUAAAAAAAAGGUACACCUGUACACGACACUUAACCAUGAAUGGAGUCUGCAGGACUGGGCGUGGCUCUGGGGGAGUCAGUGAGGGCUGAGUGUGAAGGCCUAGGACAUCACCGUGCACUGCUGUAGACUCAAUAAACACUGUCCACUUAGGCUACACUCGAUUUAUUGAAAAAUUCAAUAAUAAAUUAACCAUACUGUAAUUAGGUUUACUCUAACUUUUUACUUUAGAAAUUUUAAAAUUUCUUUUUACUUUUUAACUCUUUUCUAGUAGCACUUAGCUUAAAACACACAUUGUACAGCUAGACAAAAAUAUUUCUAUCCUGAUCUAGAAGCUUUUUCUUUUAAUUUUUAAAAUGUUUUCAUUUAAAACUAAGGCACAAACACAUCCAUCAGCCUAAGCCUACAUAGGAUCAGGAUCAAAACAAUGAUACCACCAGGCAGUAGGGCAGUUUCUGCUUCAUGCGGUUCGUUGUUAACCAAAAUGUUACGUGCAGUCACGUGACUGUAACUGAAACUUCGUACCCUUUAGCAACAGCACCCCAUUGCUCUGUUCCGCCGAUGCCUGGUAGCCACCUUUCCACACUCUGCUUCUGUAAAUUUCUCUAUUUUAGAUUCCAUAUAUAAAUGUCAUCCUGCAGUAUUUGUCUGUCUGAAGAUCUAAUAUACAGCAUGAUGACUAUAGUUAAUAAUACUGUAUCAUGUACUUCAACUUCGCUAAAAGGAGAGACCUUUUUUCUUAUGAAUUUUAUUGUAUUUAUUUAAUUAUUAUUAUAUUUUCUUUUUGUUUCUAGUUCUGGGAUACAUGUGCAAAAUGUGCAGGUUUGUUACAUAGGUAUACAUAUGCCAUGGUUGUUCGCUGCACCCAUUAACCUGUCCCUUAGGUUCUAAGCCCGGUAUGCAUUAGGUAUUUGUCCUAACACUCUCCCUCCCCUUGCCCUCCACACCCCCAACAGGCUCUGGUGUGUGAUAUUCUUAAGUGAGUUUUCCACAAAAAAAUAAGAAAAUGUUACUACGCGAGGUGAUGGAUAUGUUCAUCAGUUUGCGGUGAUCAUUUCACAAUGUAUACAUACCUUAAAGCAUCACAUUGGAUAUCUUAAACAUGUACAAUUUACAUUUUUCAAUUAUAUUUCAACAAAGCUGUUAUAAAUUACUUAAGUAGCAGAAUCACUUAAGUUACUGUUACCCUAUUGUAGAGAGAAGAAUUUAGACAGUUUCAGAAUUCCCUUAACCUUUUUAUAUGCAAGUGAUGUUAUUUUGUUGGGACAGAUAUUAAAGGUUGGCUUUUUUAUAUUUUCACUUAGUUUAAUUAAUAAGUGUAAGUUGUAGCAGAGUACUUAAAGUAGAUGUAAAACUAUGGAAGGCCUAAUUAAGCCAGUGAUUUAAGAGAUAAGAAGAUACUGGCAUAAUUCAAGUGUAUUUUGUGCUUAGUACUUAGCUACCUGUACUUCACAUAUCUCAUAGAGAACAUAAACACAGUGGUUGGGUGUGGCUUAUUCAGCAACUAGAGCUUCCUGAAAUCGGGACUUUUAUAUUGAUAUUGGAAAGUAAUUAUAUAAUAUACUUGCCUUCGAAAUACAUACUUAAUAUGCAGAAUUCAAUUUAUGUGGUCGUAACUACAUAAACAAAAACAACUACAAAUUUUGAAUUGAGAAGUGAGUUCUCAAAAUUUACUCUUUUUCAAGAUUGUUUAACUUUUCUGUGUUCUUGCAUUUCCAAAUGAAUUUUCAGAUAAACGUGUUAACUUCCACAAACAAACAAAAGAACACCUGAGAUCUUGAUAGAGAUUGUAUUAAACCUUUCGAUUAAUUUGGCAAGUAUUGCCAUCUUCACGAUAUUGUUUUCCUGUCCAUGAACAUAGACCAUUUUUAUACUUAUUUAGAUCUUUAAAAAUUCCUUCUUUUAUUUUCAUGACAUACAUUUUGCAUUUAUUUUGGUUUACUUAACUUUUUUAUGCAAUUGUAAGUGAAAUUGUAUUCUUAAUUUCAUUUUUGGAUUGUCCAUUUCAAGGGCAUAGAAAUGCAAACGAUUUUUAAAAUAUUGAUCUUGUGCCUUGCAAUUUCACUGAAGUUUAUUAUCAGUUCAAAAAAUUGUUUUCUGGAUUCUCAGGAGUUUCUAUAUGUAAGAUCAUAUCAUCUGCAAAUAGAGACGGUCUUACUUCUUCAUUCCCUAUAUGGUUGCCUUUUAUUUCUGUUUUUUUAUUUUUAUUAUUUUAUGAUUUUAUUAUUUUUUGCCUAAUUGCCUUGUAUAUGGUAAACUUCUUUUACCAUGUUGAAUAGGAGUAUUGAGAGUGAACAUCCUUGUCUUAUUCUCAAUCUUAGGUGUUAUGAUUUGUUUCAAGAUGUAUUUCUUAUAAUUAGAUAUAAAAAUAUUUGUGGUGACUCAGACAACUUACUCUUGCCCUAUUUCAUAUUUGAUAAUAAUGCAGUUUUUACACUUAAGCCAAGUAAAGUUUUUGAGACAGUGUUUUGCUCUGUUGCCCAGGCUGGAGUGCAGUGUGCAUUCAGGGCUCACUGCAGCCCCAAUCUCCCAAGCUCAAGCUGUCCCCACAACUCAGCCUCCCAAAUAGCUAAGACUAUAGGUACAUACCACCAUGUCUGGCUAAUUUAAAAAAAAAUUUUUUUAGUAGAGAUGGGUUCUCACUAUGUUGCCCAGGCUGGUUCUGAAUUCCCGAGCUUAAGCAAUCUUCCUGCCUCAGCGUCCCAAAGAGUUAUAUAAUUUUUAACUCAAUUAAACUAUUAACAAAUUUUUCAUUAACUAUACUAAUGACUUUAUGAUAGAUUUUGUAACUGUUUUUGAGCCUUUUAACAGAAAAUUGUACCUUUGAAUAUUUAAGUUUUCUGUGCACUUCUGCUGAAAUUCAAAUAUGAGUGCUAUUUUAAAGCCUACUGUGCUGCUCUGUUGAGGUUCAUAAAAAGCCUACUUUGUAGUGUUGCAGAAAUCACAUAAUUGCAUACUCGUGGUUUGCUUUUAUUUUAAAGAUUACCAAGUAUGAAGAAAUUCAAUGAUAUGUUACGGGUUGGUAUAGAAUAUGUUGUAACUUGGCCUAGUUUGUCCCUUGAUUAUAACAUUGUGAACUCUCUUAACGAUAAAUUUAAAAAGUUUAUGCACAUUUAUAUACUACCUAGUCAAGUGGAGGCACUGCUGGGUAAAAUACAUCCUAAACGGAAUUCCCACCUAGGAUUCUAUUCCUCUCAUUUUAAUUCGUCACAUUGCAUUACUGUGAUCUUGUUAGCAGAAAGAGGAUAGUAGCCUCGUUUUGUCUGCAGAGUUUCACAUCAUUAACCUUCCAGAGUCACUUUUAUUAUAGGGAGAAAUGAAUGGACUAAUAUUUGAGGAGAAUCACUGCAGUAUUCCCUGUGCUGAGAAAAUACACACUCAGAGUCUGAUGACCAUGAUGCUUCUGCAGAGAAAUGCAUCUCCCAUUCAUUAGGAAAUUCAUUUUUUUCUUUUUUCGCGUGCAUUAAUGGGAUAUUUUCGUUUGUUUGCCCUGCCUUUAAGAAAAUUUGAUUAAUUCUAUUUCAUGUUCCUAUUAUGUAACACAAACAUUCGAGCCUAUUCUUCUCAUUAUUGUGAUGCAAAAAAGUACUUGCAUGUUUUUAAAGAAAAGUGGUGCAUGCCUGUAAUCUCAGCUACUCAAGUGGCCGAGGCAAGAGAAUUGCUUCAAUCUGGGAGUUAGAAGUUGCGGUGAGCCAAGAUCACUCCACUGCACUCCUGCCUGGGUGACAGAGUGGGACUAAGUCUCAAAAAAGAAACAAAGAAAUAUCACUGCGUGUGAUUUUUGGGGGGAAUGGGGAGCAUACACAUGCAUGUGUGCAUCUUAUGGAAAAAUCUUGAGUCUAAGCAGUUGGGCACUUUAGCGGUAUGUUAUUAUACUUCCUCUUCAGAUGCCUAAAAUGCCAGCUCCUGUGUGUCAGCUGUCACUGCACAUUCAUGCAGCAUUGCUUUUUGAGGUCACACUAUGACAUUUAAUGAUGAAGAAAUUUUUAUGUUUUGGACAGCUUAAAGGAUGCAGUAAAAUAAGCUUGACAGCUAUCACCUGUGAAAUGUGUUGUGCAAUUAUACAUAGAGAAAAUGAUUUUUAAAUAUUUGUGUUACAUUCAUGCUCUUAAACAUAUUAGUACCUCAAAAUCCAUCAAGUGAAUACAACCAGCUGUCAGGAAAAAACAUAACUAGCUUCUUUCCAGAACAUGACAUGUAUUUAUAAAACAUUAUUUUUUAAAGCCUGGAUUAUCUUGCAUGUAUAGCCAGGUAUUAGGCCUUAUUUUAAAUCUUUAUUUAUAUAGUACAUACGUAUGUCAUAUAUAGAGAGAUAUAUAUGUAUAUAUUGAAACUAUUGCACCUAAAUGUUUAUAUAUUUUUUUUCUUUUCUUUUUUGAGAGAGGGUCUCACUGUGUUGUCCAGGCUGUAAUGCAGUGGUAUGAUCAUAGCUCACUGCAGCCUCAACUGCCUGGGCUCAAGCAAUCCUCCCCCCUCAGCCUCCUGGGUAGCUGGGAGGACCACAGGCAUAUGCCACCUAAUUUGACUUUGUAAAAAUUUUUGUAGAGACGAAGUCACGCUGUGUUGCUCAGGGCUUGUUCAUUUCUUGUUACAUUUUUAUUAUAAAUAUAUAGAAAUGGAAUUGCAGAGUCAAAGGUAUGUUUGUCUUUAGUGCAUUUGACACUUGUACAUACUUUCUCUUGUUAUAGAAUAUAUGGGUUAAUAUGAUCUCUCUCUCUCUCAUUAGAUUGUUGAAUUGUGGCUGUGUAUUUCUAGACCACACAUACUAUAUAGUAUAGACUCAUUAAAUGUCUGUUAAAUGAGUGGUUCACUUAUAGUUAGGCACAUUUGCAAAUUUAGACAUAUUUAAAGAGAUAUUUUUAACUACUACAGAACUGAAUUGCUAGAAAAUCCAAUUCAAAAAGAUAUUUAAGUCAUCAGUACAUAUUUAGGGAUCUUCAAUGACACUUUUUGCCCAUCUUCUAUUUUUCCAUAUUAGAGAUAAUUUUUAUUAGUGAAAAUCACAAUUUGUAAAGUGAAAUGGAGAAAUAAAGAAAAAUUGAGUGAGAAUAGGUGAGAGUAGGAACCCAAGAAUAUUAGUAAAUGCUAAUCCUUCCUUGACCACAUUGAUCAAAUCUUUUGCAACCUGUCUAAUGAAACAGAUGUGGGAAUAUCAUGAGGGAAUUUGGAAACAGCAGUAAUGGCUCUGCUGUGUCAUCAUUGUUUAUGAUUAGUUGAGACUGGUUUGCAAAACAAACAUGGUAUUAGGUCAGGAAUUCAGAUCUCUGAUUCCUUAAAGAGAAAAGCAAAAUGGGGAGAGGUACUUGUGGACAGUCUUGCAGCUCAUGGAAGGGAUGCACUGAGCUGUGCACACAGCUGGAGUGCAGCUGAAUGGGGUGGUGCUACUGCUGACCUGGUCUGCAUGUGUCUCAUGUACCCACUCCUGGGUGCCUGGCAAUGGGGCUCUGAUUCAGACUCACAUGUUUGUGAAGAAAAACAGCAAUGAAAAUGAAGUCAGCUGUGAUUUGAAGUGAGUUCCCACCACCUUCAUGAAGAUAGGGAAAGGAGUAUGGGCGAGUUUCCUGGUGCAAAAGAGGAAUAAAGUCAACAAAGGAAGGACUUGGGAUUUAUAUGAAAAACGAACUUGAACUUGUAUACCUGAGUGGAUGUGUCGUUUGGGAGCUUCUGUCUUUUUUCCUGCAGACUGCUCAAAGCCGGUAUAAUUCAUGUACCAUGAAGUCACACACCCAUGUGUCCCAGCUGUUCCCCUCAUCAAAGAUGUUGCCAGAAGAAAUUCUGGACUAAAAGGGGGUCUUCCUUCAUUCCCCAGAGCCCUGUGUAAAUCAGCUAGAAACCACUUACCAUCCUAAUACUGUUGACCACAGGUGAUGGACCUACCUAGAGAGAGUGAUGGAAGGCAGAGAAGAGUUAUAUGCCACAUUGGGAAAAUUGAAGCUUGAAGAGUGAAUAGUGUGUUAAAUAUAGAAAGAAGGAGAUGACUUUCAGUCCAUGUAAUAUUGACACAAAUGCAUGAUAACCAAAGCAGGCUACCCUUUACAGGUGAAAAUCAAGAUGCGUGGGAAUUUGUGCUGACAAAUUCAUUGCAAUCAAGGCCCAAAGACACUUGUUGGGAAGUUGAAAAGCCGCAAAAUUUUUGCCUUUAAAAAAAAUUGUCAAUGGGCAUGCUACCUGCCUAGAUUUAGGAGAAUUCCAGCAGCAAUGUGCAGGGCCAGGUUACAGAGAAGCUGGACUAAUGGCACAAUUUAGGGUUUGAGGACAGAACCAAUCAUAUCAUUUGUAGGGUCCAGUUCAAAAUGAAUACUGUGGAACCCUUUGUUUAAAAAUUAUUAGGAAUUUUAAGACGGCGACAGCAGAGCAUUAAAGCAAACACCACAUUGUUCUCCUAAGGGUGAGGCCCAAUGAGACUGCCUAGGUCAUAUGCCCAACAAGCUUUAUUGGUUGGGGAAGGGAGAGGUGAGAUAAAUCCAGGAUCCUUCUGUAUUUAUGUCUGAGUGAGUUUGAAUGAAUAAGGGAGUCUUUGCACCAUUACAUGAGAAUGGAAUACAGAAAGCAAAUCUGGUUCAUGAACAUGGAAAAUAGAUUUGUUCUAAUGAUUUUUAGCUGAAAAUUUCUUUGGUAAUGUCCAAGCGCAGUCAGAAACAUGAAUCUGGGGCACAAAAGAGAGGCAAGAUCUUAAAACGCCAAGCUAAGUGUCCGCAAUGUAUAGGGGUAUAUGUGACCUGCAGGAAAACUGUAUGCGGAUAUAGAAUGAGAGUAAAGGCAGCCAAGGACAGGAACCUAUGGAAGAGCAGAAUUCCAAGUGGGGGAGGAUUUCUUCAGAUGUCUUUUCUUCUCAACAUUCCUGCCUGAAGUUCAGAGCUCGACAUAUAAAGGGGAAAUUAACAGGUAGGAGAAAAUAAAAGAUAAAAUAAUUAUUUGGGAUAAGAUGCAUGAUUUCGAUGCAUAGCUGGAAAUUAGAUGAUCCAUCCACCGUAUGUCCCCAAAAGGGCAUAUCUCCCCCAAACUAGGGGAAAGUGGAAUGGGAAUGGUCGAUAUUAAGGGUCCUGGGGUUUUGACCUGGCCCCCCACUCACUCACAUCCUUCAGCAUCCCUCCCAGCCCUGGCUUCCUCUUCGUUACCACCAAGGUGAAUACCUGCCAUCGCUCAUCCUCCCCAGAGCCAGGACUCUGGAUCAAUUACUCUAAUUUCUGGACACAUCCCAGGUUAAAACUUUGAUUUUGAUCUUUGCCUACUGCAGAUAGAAACCAAAUAGGAUGAUAUGUCUGUGACUCAUUAAAUGUUAGAUAUUUUUUCUUAAGAAAGCGAAAUGACCUUUAACAUUGUCUGAGAAAACAUGACAGAAAUGCUGAGAGUAAUGAUUCCUUGAAAGAAUUACCCCAGUCAACUCUCAGCAAGACAAUGUGAAAUGCCACAGGGCUUUUACUGUGCAAGACCUCAUUAGCAUACAGUUCAAAAUCUUGGACGCGGUACCGCAUUAUCGAAGUCUCCUGUUUUGUCAUGUACAGAGUGUGCUGUACGUACCUCUUUCAGGAUAUGGUGAUGACGUCUAGAGGAAGAAUUUCUAUUCAAAUGCAUUAUUUUUUUUGAGACAGAGUCUCACUCCAUUGCCCAGGCUACAGUGCAGUAGCUCAAUCUCGGCUCACUGCAACCUCUGCCUCUUGGGUUCAAGCAAUACUUGUGCCUCAGCCUCCCAAGUAGCUGGGACUACAGACGUGUGCCACCAUGCCUGGCUAAUUUUCUGUAUUUUUAUAGAGACAGGGUUUCACCAUGUUGGCCAGGCUGGUCUUGAACUCCUGGCCUUAAGUGACCGGCCUGUCUUGGCCUCCCAAAGUGCUGGGAUUAUGGGCAUGAGCUAUUGUGCCCGACCCAAAUGCAUUUUAAAUUUCAGUGUAUUUAGUUUUUCAUUACUUUGAAUAAUGUUUCUUAUAUAAUUUUAAUGUCACCUGCAAAUAUCUGUAAUGAUAGAAUCCUGGUAAUGUUAAUUAAAGAAAGGUAUAGAUUAAGGUUAUUCAGUUGCACAAAUAAAUCCACAAGGUAAACGUUGUCAGAAGUGAUACCUAAACAAACUAAACGUACUUCUCAAACUUCAAUGAGUAUAGGAAUAAGGAAUCUUGUUAAAUGCAGAUUUGGGCUGAGCAGUUAAAUUACAGGAUCUGGAAAGGAGCCCAAGAUCCUGUAAUUUAACAAGAUUUUAGGUGAUACCUUUAUUUCUGUAAUCAGAGACCAUAUUUUUAAGUUACCAAGGCUUUAAAUCUUAGGGUAAAAUUUAGGACUUAAAAAAAACUGGGCAUGGUACAGUGACUCAUUCCUGUAAUCCCAACAGUUUGGGAGGCCAAGGGAGGAGGAUUGCUUGAGACCAGGAGUUCAAGACCAGCAUGGCAAAUUAGGGAGACAUCAUCUCUCUACAAAAAAUAAAAUAAGAAAUCUGCCAGGUGUGCUGGAAUGUGUCUGUAGUCUCAGCUACUCAGAGGCCAAGGAAGGACGAUUGCUUGAGCCCAGGAGGUGGAGACUUCAGUGAGCCAUGAUUGCACCAUUGUACUCUAGCCUGAGCAACAGAGCAAGACCUUGUCUCUAAAAGAAAAAUAAUAACACUUUGUUUUUUGCUGUUUUCUGCCUUGUGAAACUUGAUUCUGUUCCUAAAAGUUACAGUAACCAUUUCUGCCUUUGUGGAGAGGGGAAACUCUCUGUAGAAAAGGUGAGAAAUCCGAACACAUUUCUCCGUAGCACCUGUUUGGUACAGCUGUGUCUGUGUUAAAAUUUAACCACACUUCUGCUUAAUGAAAGGUAAAGAGACUAGAUCCAGUUUCAAGAUUUUUUCCUACUUCAGAGAUUUUAUGAGUUAUACAUGUAUAAAAAAGGAAUACUCAUUUCUUAUUUAUUUGCCUUUUAUUAUUUUUUAAUUUCUCAUUCGUUUUACUUUGUCAUCUCUUCCCGAGUGCUCCAUUUCUUUAUUCUAUUAUUGUAAAUAUUCUCCUACUUUCAAGCUUCUCUUAUUUGACCCACUCCUUAACCCUCCUACUUUUCUUACUUUUUUCCAUUAUUCACUGUCUUUACUUUUUUUUGCCCUAAAAGUCUACUAGUAUAUAGGAAAAAUGGGAACUAUAAAGCUGUUUUGAACUAGAUAAACAUUAUAAAACAUCCUAUGGGAUGACUUUUAAAUAGUUUUUUUAAUAGUUCCACAAUGUGUAUAAUUUCCAGCAUCUUCUGUUUUAUAAGCACCUUUUAUAAGUUUAAAUGCCUGUAUUUACAGAGAAUUGUUGCCAAUAAAACUCAAAUCUGUUCACUGAUGCAAUGCCUUAGGGGAACUGGAAGAAUGCUAGACCUUAGCAUUUCUGGAAACAUGUUCCUUUUUAUUAAAACUUGGUGAACUGGGCCGGGGGCAGUGUCUUACUCCUGUAAUCCCAGCACUUUGGGAGGCUGAGGCAGGUGGAUCACCAGAGGUCAGGACUUCAAGCUUGGCCAACAUGGUGAAACCCCAUCUCUACUAAAAAUACAAAAAUUAGCUGGGCGUAGAGGCAGUCGCCUAUAAUUCUAGCUACUCAGAAGGCUGAGACAGGAGAAUCGCUUGAACCUGGUAUUGGAGGUUGCACUCCAGCCUGGGUAACAAGAGAAGAACUUUGUCUAAAAAAAAAACAACUUGAUUAUUUGAUCUUCAUAGUACUCUUCUGUAUUUCAAGGAAGUUGAUUGGUCUUUAUCCUUAAAAAAUUCAAAAGUAUCAGAAGAUAGCAGUGUCAAAGAUAAACCAUGUUAACAUCAUGUAAAAGUUCCCGCAACUUAAUUAUACGUCUACUUGUUCUCUUCCAUUCAAACAUUAAUAUUACCUACUCUGUAAUUUAAUGACUUGAAAACUGUGUUAUAUCCUGGGAUUUUUUUUUUCUUUUUUUUUUUCAGACAGAGCCUCACUCUAUUGCCCAGGCUGGGGUGCAGUGGCAGGAUCUCGGCUCACCGCAACCUCUACUUCCCGGGUUCAAGUGAUUCUCCUGCUUCAGCCUCCCAAGUAGCUGUGAUUACAGGCAUGCACCACCACACCAGACUAACUUUGUAUUUUUAGUAGAGACAGGGUUUCAACCUGUUGGCCAGGCUGAUCUUGAACUCCUGACCUCAGGUGAUCCACCUGCCCCGGCCUCCUAUAGUGCUGGGAUUGCAAGUGUGAGCCACCACGCCUGGACCUGGGAAUAUUUUCUUUGUUACAUUUGUUUUUUUCUAACUCCAACUAUUUUUAUCUUCACAUGAAUAUUUAAAGUUUUUCAGAGUACAGCAUAAAAGAGAUUAUUUCACUUGAUAAUGUGUUGAUAUAUGGUUUUGGGGGCUACAUUAAAGGAAAUGAAUUUUCUCGCUUGCAUUAUCAUGUCAGAAGCAGAAGGAAAACACUUCGCCUCCCUAGCUCUACAUCUGUGGUUUCAACCUGAAGUCUCAGGAACAUGGCAAGCGUUUGCUUAGCAGAAGACCAUCAGAUAGCAAGGGAGAAGGUCGGAUCCCACAUCAGCCUGAAUGUGUGCUUAGCAGAAGACCAUCAAAGCAGCAAGGGAGAAGGCCAGAUCCCACAUCAGCCUGAACGUGUGCUCAGCAGAAGACCAUCAGACAGCAAGGGAGAAGAUCGGAUCCCAUAUCAGCCUGAACGUGUGCUUAGCAGACCAUCAGAGCAGCAAGGGAGAAGGCCGGAUCCCACAUCAGCCUGAACGUGUGCUUACCAGAAGACCAUCAGACAGCAAGGGAGAAGGUCAGAUCCCACAUCAGCCUGAACGUGUGCUUAGCAGAAGACCAUCAGAGCAGCAAGGGAGAAGGGCAGAUCCCAUAUCAGCCUGAACGUGUACUCAGCAGAAGACCAUCAGAGCAGCAAGGGAGAAGGGCAGAUCCCAUAUCAGCCUGAAUGUGUACUCAGCAGAAGACCAUCAGAGCAGCAAGGGAGAAGGACAGAUCCCAUAUCAGCCUGAAUGUGUACUCAGCAGAAGGCCAUCAGAGCAGCAAGGGAGAAGGACAGAUCCCAUAUCAGCCUGAACGUGUGCUCAGCAGAAGACCAUCAGACAGCAAGGGAGAAGGUCGGAUCCCACAUCAGCCUGAACGUGUGCUUAGCAGAAGACCAUCAGACAGCAAGGGAGAAGGUCAGAUCCCACAUCAGCCUGAACGUGUGCUUAGCAGAAGACCAUCAGACAGCAAGGGAGAAGGUCGGAUCCCACAUCAGCCUGAACGUGUGCUUAGCAGAAGACCAUCAGACAGCAAGGGAGAAGGUCGGAUCCCACAUCAGCCUGAACGUGUGCUUAGCAGAAGACCAUCAGAGCAGCAAGGGAGAAGGCCGGAUCCCACAUCAGCCUGAGCGUGUGCUUAGCAGAAGACCAUCAGACAGCAAGGGAGAAGGUCGGAUCCCACAUCAGCCUGAACGUGUGCUUAGCAGAAGACCAUCAGAACAGCAAGGGGAGAAGGCCGGAUCCCACAUCAGCCUGAACGUGUGCUUAGCAGAAGACCGUCAGAGCAGCAAGGGAGAAGGGCAGAUCCCAUAUCAGGAAUGUGUACUCAGCAGAAGACCAUCAGAGCAGCAAGGGAGAAGGACGGAUCCCAUAUCAGCCUGAACGUGUGCUUAGCAGAAGACCAUCAGAGCAGCAAGGGAGAAGGCCGGAUCCCACAUCAGCCUGAACGUGUGCUUAGCAGAAGGCCAUCAGAGCAGCAAGGGAGAAGGUCGGAUCCCACAUCAGCCUGAACGUGUGCUUAGCAGAAGGCCAUCAGAGCAGCAAGGGAGAAGGUCGGAUCCCACAUCAGCCUGAACGUGUGCUCAGCAGAAGGCCAUCAGAGCAGCAAGGGAGAAGGUCGGAUCCCACAUCAGCCUGAACGUGUGCUUAGCAGAAGGCCAUCAGAGCAGCAAGGGAGAAGGUCAGAUCCCACAUCAGCCUGAACGUGUACUCAGCAGAAGACCAUCAGAGCAGCAAGGGAGAAGGUCAGAUCCCACAUCAGCCUGAACGUGUACUCAGCAGAAGACCAUCAGAGCAGCAAGAGAGAAGGUCAGAUCCCACAUCAGCCUGAAUGUGUACUCAGCAGAAGGCCAUCGGAGCAGCAAGGGAGAAGGGCAGAUCCCACAUUAGCCUGAAACAUUGUCUUCAAAUGCAGUGUGUUGAAAAGAGAACCUUUACUACAAAACAGACUCCUGGUUUUGUCCAUUAGAAAAGGAAAUAUUUACAAGCAAAAUUAUUUUGGCCAGAGAAGAGACCAGCUGUUUCCAGUAGCUGGUCUCUUAUUAUUUCUAUGGAAUAAUUCCUUAGAGAUAGGAGAACAUUGUUUCAUUAAAGUAAUUCUAAAUCCUGAUAACUGUAACAUAAAAUCCAGGACCUUAGGACAGGGAUGCAAUAUAUAGUGAAUUAUGUAACUGUGCUGCCUUUCUCUAUAGCUAAUGCAAAUCAAAAAAAAAAAAAAAAAAAAAAGAUCUAUUUUUUUUUUUUUUUUUACGUCCAAAGCCUCACAACAUGAGGCUUCCUUGUCCUUAUUUGCUGGAGUUCAGCCCAUUUAAAGAGUUUUACCACUGAGUAUUUUGGAAUGUUGUGCCUGAGACCUCCUCAUCAGGACUAUGGAACAUGCCAUUUCAUUUUUGUCCUUGGACUCCUCGGGUCCCCAGCCAUCUGUGUCUGCUCCUGUUGUGGUCUGCACACAGCCAUGUUUCUUCCACUGUUCAUAGCCACUGGUCCUCCGACUCCAGGCUGUGGGACAGAACCCUGCACCAUCUAGUUUCCCACAGCACAGAUGUCUAAAAGCUGAAUGUUAUAAAGACAAGGCGGAAACCCCAUGGAGGAAAUGGCUCACACCUGCUCUCAGAGCUGGCUGCUUGCUGCUCCUGAUCCCAUUCCAGACUUCUCAGCAGCCUGAUGGUGAGGGCAUCUUGUGCUCUGUCACCACACCUUGGAGCCCACGUGGUACCAAUUUAUGCAGCAAGGGAAGGUGGAAAUCUGUUCCCCAAUCAAAAGCCCAGUUCCUUUAUGCCUCUGGGUGAUGGGGGAGGGGCAUUUACUUCUCUCAGAAGGCAUUUCCUGCCUUACCUCUACAAGAUAUGUUCUUCAUUCUAUAGCCUGAACAAGACCAUCAUCAGGCAUGCUUGUAUUUUCCAUUUGGCUUGUUCUCUUCUUUCACCAAAUGGGACUAGAAGCCUGGACUUGAUUCUUCAGGUGGUAAAGAGCCAUUGAAUGUUUCUCAGCCGUUUAAAGCCAUGAUGUGGGAACAUCCUUAGCCAUACUAAAGACGUAUUUGGGGGCCGGGCGUGUGGCUCAAGCCUGUAAUCCCAGCACUUUGGGAGGCCGAGGUGGGUGGAUCAUGAGGUCAAGAGAUCGAGACCAUCCUGGUCAACAUGGUGAAACCCCGUCUCUACUAAAAAUACAAAAAAUUAGCUGGCCAUGGUGGCACAUGCCUGUAAUCCCAGCUACUCGGGAGGCUGAGUCAGGAGAAUUGCCCGAACCCAGGAGGCAGAGGUUGCGGUGAGCCAAGAUCGCGCCAUUGCACUCCAGCCUGGGUAACAAGAGUGAAACUCUGUCUCAAAAAAAAAAAAAAAAAGAUACAAAA